ACCCGCCACCAUUUUCACAUUAUCGAACAACCUUCACCUUCCUCUUCGCCUCCAUAAUCAUUACUCGAAUAAUGACUCCUGUUCCCAUUAUACCCAUUAUUAUACCCUCCAUGGUCGUAUCCAAACCCACCGUAACUAGGCGGCGGCGGUGGUGGUGCUAUUGGCAUCCCGUAGCCAUGCUGAAACGGAGCACCACCGUAACCUUGAUCGUAAUACUGCCCGUAUCCCACCAUAGGUGGGUAAGCUGAUUGUGGGUACAUCUGUGGAUAGCCGUGCACUGGUUCAUACACCAUCUUCGCAACCUCCGGGUUCGGAGCAAAAUCUACUUUCUUCGGAGCUUCUUGUUUUGGCUUCUCCGCCUCUUUAGGUUUCCCCUCCGGUGGCUUCCCUGCAUCCUUCGGUUUAGCCUCCGGUGGCUUCCCAGCAUCCUUCGGUUUCGCCUCCGGUGGCUUCCCUGCGUCCUUAGGUUUGGCCUCCGGUGGCUUUCCUGCAUCCUUUGGCUUGUCAGCGGCUUUGGGUUUCUCCUGUUGAUCCUUUGGCUUGUCAGCAGCUUUGGGUUUCUCGGCUUCCUUGGGUUUUCCGGCAGGCUUGUCGGCAGCUGGUUUGGCAUCUUUUGGUUUGUCAGCCGGUGGCUUCGCCUUCUCAGCCUCUUUUGGCUUAUCGGCGACGGCGGCGGGUUUAGCUUUUUCCGGUUCUUUAGGCUUUUCCGGCUUCUCGACGAUUUCUAUGCUCUGAAUCGCACCUCCACCUUUGUAACAAAGCUUGUCUCGAAUAGCUUCAGGGCUACAACACACCACGAUUAAUUUGACCUUGUUCUUGUCCACAUCAAAGACCUGGUCCCUUAUUUCUAAUAAUUAGUCAAGAAAAAAAUAAUGAAAAGUUAAUUUAAUUAUAUAUACAUCUACCAUGAAUCAUGAAUAUAUAAUCAUACAUCGAAUUGAUUUAGAAUUUUUAGAUUCUAAGGAUUCGAUACUUUUAUAAAGAUAGACAAAAGCGGAAUUCAAUUACUAAAAGAUAGAUUUAUGUAAAACGGAAAGUAAAAGAUGAAGAAAAAACUCACGGGGGAUUUUACAGAUAACCUUCUUCACUUUCUUGUAGCAGCCGGAGCAUUUGAGAUCGACAUUCAGCACCAUUUCUGUCACCUGUUUCGUUAUAUCAAACAGAUUUAAUCGACAUUAGUUCUUGAGUAUAUUAGCUCAUUUCAAUUCUUAAAAUGCUUAUUUAGCAGGAAGAUUUUCUCAUGAGAAGCUAGAUUGAAAAGAUAAAAAACAACAAUGGCUUCGGAAUGCAGAUGAAACUUAAUUGAUAAUCUGAGAGGGAAUGAGUACCUUCUCAGGCGCCAUGGCAGCGAAGGAAGAAUCGAUCCGUGAGAGAGAUGAUGAGACACAGAAUGAGGUGUGUCAGUGAGACUUUGAAUUAAAAAGAGGAAAGGGAGCGGAGAAGUGGUGACGUCAUUAUUACUAUUAAUUCUAUCACAACUUCUAUCAAAACCAAAUUAAAUUUUCUUUUUAACAAGUGAAUGCAAUUAUUCUUAUUAUGAUUAUUAUGUAUGUAUAUUUAAUUUCAUAUAUAAAUGUUAUAGCGAUAAAGAGAUAAGAACUAAAAUGUAUUCGAUAAAACUAGUUGUAAGUUUAUACUGUUGUUUUUAUUUGUAUAUGAGGGUUCGAAAAAAACAAUUGAAAAUUUUUUAAAACAUAAAAUUAAUAAAUCAGCUUAUAUAAAACACACAAUUGAUUUAAAAAAAGAGUAAUUAAAUCAAUUUGCAAAAGUAGAAAAUAGUUUUUGUUAAGAAGUAGAUUUUGGUUUUAAAGAUUUUUAUUUUAGUUCAAAGCCAAAAAUCAACUAUUUUCCUUUCCAGUUUUUUUAAAAGCUGAAAGAUAAAAACUUUUAAAAAUUAUCUGCCAAAUAUGACCAUAAUAUAUCUCAAAGUACAAAAUAUCAAACAUUUUUAUUAAUAUUCAUAAUUUGAUAAUGUACCAAUCAAUCAAAGAUGCACAUAAUAACGUAUAUAUAUUGUUUAUGUUUAUUUUAUGCAAUAAUCUGUAAAACGACACAAGAAACCGAACUUUCAAAAGGUUAGGAGAGUUAUAANCGAAUACAAGAAUGUUAAAAAUUCUAUAUUUUUGAAUGUUUAAAUUCAAAGAAUAAGAUGAUGAUGAUGAUGAAGGUUUUGAAUAAAUAAUUGAAAUGAGAAGUAGGAGUUGUAAAGUAGGAAAUAAAUGGUGUGUAUUACAAGGGGCUUUGCCUCGGAUCCCAAGCUCCACAUGGGACUCUCCUAUCCCCACCGACAAUAUCAUUUCCUUACGUUAUUUGGAAAAUAUUAUAUAAUUAUUCAUGCAUUAAUUCAUUCAAUACUUAAAUUAAACACUCACUCAACUAUUAGUAAUAUCAACCAUAUCAAAUUCACUUUUUUUUCUCAACAAAACUAUUUUUGUGCAUUUAUGCACAUAUUUUCUUUUAAAGUUGGAUAUGUAUUUUUGUUUUACAUUCAUGUCUUAUUUACCAAAAAGCUUAUAGUCCAGCAAUAUCCGGUAUUAUCUUCUUUUCUUAAGAUCGAUGGUUCAAGUCCCGUAGUAUAUAGAUAGUAUAUAGAGAUGGAAUAAAUUAGUAUUUAUUUGUUGUUUAAAAGAAAAAAAAAGAAAUCCAUGUCUCAUUUUUCUAGCUUUUUUAGAGUAAAUUACAUUAAUGGUCCCUAUGGUUUGGGGUAAUUUGCGCAUUUGUUCUAUUUUUUUUAACUCGGAAAGUGUUUAUUAUUUGUUUUUGUAACGCGUUUGGUCCCUAUUGUUUGUUUUUGUUACGCGUUUGGUCCCCGUCUUACCUAAAAAAACUAUUAUUUAAAUAAGAAAAAAUAAUGGGGUAGGUAAGAUAAGGUGAUGAGGUGGGGUUGGGGGUGUGUUUAUUUAAAUAAAUUAACAAAUGAAGGGAAAAAUAGUUUUUUUAGGUAAGACAGGGACCAAGCAUGUAACAAAAACAAACAGUAGAGACUUUCCAAGUUAAAAAAUAAGUUAUGGACCAAACGCGCAAAUUACCGUAAACCAUAGGGACCAUUCGUGUAAUUUACCCCUUUUUUAUUUUUUAUUUUAAACAUUUCUUUACUUUUAUUUUGAAACUAAAUGAUAACAUACAAGCAGCAAGAAGAAGACCACCUUAAAACUCUGAGGAUGUGUGUUUUAUGCCUUAUUUUAUGUGGAAUGGUUUUUAAAGGAAGUAUUUGGUAACAUCUGAAUGACGUUGAUUAAUUCAAAGGCAUGAAUGAAUUUGGUUUUAGAUGGAAAAUAGUGUUUGGUUAUGUUGUUGAAUGCAUGUAUCAUAUGGAUGAGAAAAUUUUAAAAAAUGAAUGAUAUCAAUGCACAACAUAAAAUCCGCAAAAUACAUUAAAGAUGAUACUAUUCUCACAACAAGAUUAUUACAAACUGAUCAAUGUUAUGCCAAACUGUAAUGUCAUGUUUUCAGAUUUAAUAAUAAUAAUAUUAAUAAUAAUGCCAAACUGUGAAAGCAACUCACAAAUCACUGAAUCGCUGUGCUAAUCACACUCAAACACAAACAAUAAAUGAAAUGGGAAUUAGGCAUGGCACUUGCAUACGGUCAAAGCCCAAACACUUGGAAGACUUUGUGACUAAUUUACCACCAUCACUCGACAACUCCACUCCCAUCCCCACUUCAGGUUCUUCAGCGUCGGCCAGCAAUCUGGUAUAUCCUCUUUCCCAUUUUAUAUCCUAUAAUAAGUUUUUCAAAAACACAUUAGGCAUUCUUAGCAGCUAUUACUUUAAGCAACGAACCUAAGGAUUUCUCUGAAGCAAUGAAAGAUCCAAGAUAGAUAGAUGCAAUGAAAAAGGAAAUAUUAGCGCUUGAAGCAAAUGGAACUUGGUCCUUAAUGAAACUCCCAGCAGGAAAGAAAGCCAUUGGCUCAAAAUGGAUUUAUAAAAUAAAAUAUAAACCGAAUGGAGACAUAGAGAGGUUUAAAGGCUGAUUAGUAGCAAAAGGAUACACUUAAAUAGAAGGUAUCGAUUUCCAUGAAACUUUUGCUCCGGUAGCAAAACUUGUGACUAUUAGAUCCGCCUUGGUGGUUGCUGUAAAGAAAGAAUGGGAAGUACACCAGAUGGACGUAAAUAACGCGUUCUUGCAUGGUGAUCUAGAAGAAGAUGUUUAUAUGAAUGUGCCUCAAGUUUUUUGUGAGAAAAAUGAAACUUGGGUGUGUAAAUUGCAUAAAUCUAUCUAUGGCUUGCACCAAGCUUUAAGGGAUUGGUACCAAAAGUUUACAAAAGCUCUUAUCGAGAUUGGUUUUCAACAAAGCAAUGCUGAUCAUUCCAUGUUCGUAUUCAAGAUGAGCUCUGUACAUGUAGUUGCACUCAUUUAUGUUGAUGAUAUCCUAUUGAUGUGAAAUGAUAUCAGUAAAAUCAAUGAAGUGGAAAAUCACUUGCAAAGUCGGUUUAGUAUUAAAGAUUUGGGUCCCCUCAAAUACUUCCUUGGCAUUGAAGAUGCUCAAUCCAAGGAAGGUUUCGUAAUUAGUCAAAGAAAAUACACGUUGGAUAUUCUUGAGUAUUGUGGUGUUUUAGCAAGCAAGCCUAGCAAUUUUCCAAUGGAACAAAAUGUUAAAUUGAGAAAAGAUGGUGAAAGUCCAACAGUUGAUGCUUCUCGUUACAGAAGAUUUGUGGGACGUUUACUUUAUCUCACGAUUACCCGUCCUGACAUAACGUUUGUAGUAAACCAGUUAAGUCGGUUCUUGAGAAACCCUAGAAAACCGCAUAUGGAUGUUGCUCAUAGGGUGCUUCGAUAUUUGAAAGCCACGUCAAGACAAGGUUUAUACCUUCCUUCAUCAGGUUCUUUAGAUCUCAUGGCUUAUUGUGACGCUAGUUGGUUAAGUUGUCCCACCACUAGAAGAUCAUGCACAAGAUAUUUUAUUAAUCUUGGGGGAGCACCAGUUUUGUGGAGGACGAAAAAGAAAACAAUGGUGUCAAGAUAUUUAGCAGAAGCGGAAUAUAGGUCGAUGGCAAGCACUAUAUGUGAAGUUAUGUGCCUCAGAUUGCUUCUUCAAGAUUUGGAUGUUGUACAAGCUGGUCCUACCCCUCUUAUAUGUGACAAUGAAGCUGGUAGACACAUCGCUGCCAAUAUUGUCUAUCAUGAUCAGACAAAAAAUGUUGAAAUGGAUUGUUAUUUUGUCCGAAAAAGAAUAAAGAGUGGUGAGAUAAAAACUUUUGCUAUUCGAUCAGAGUUUCAAACUGCAAAUAUUUUUACUAAAGCUCUUGGUGCAGAUUGGUUCAUGUUUCUACGUGGCAAGUUGGGUGUUCGAGAUUUACACACACCAACUUGAGAGGGAGUACUAAAAUUAUGGAUCGUAAUUAUCCUUAUCUUCAUUUAUUGAUUAUAUUUAUCUUUGAUUUGGUCUUAUCCUUAUUUAAGAAGUUAUCUUAUUUCUAAGUUUUUAGAAUUAUGUUAUAAUCCUUAUUUAUAAAUACCUCUCUGUAUUCUUUUUUGAUCGAUAAUAAGAAGAUAUAUUUUCUCCUUUCUCCAAAUUUAUUAAAUAAUAAUAAUAAUAAUAAUAAUAAUAAUAAUAUUUAUUUUGAUAAUGUUCACUCGGAAUAAUAGGUUGUAAAUUUUAGAAUUUUAAAAUAUAAAUUCUAGUUAUAAAAGAGAUUUAAUAAGUAGGAAAGAAUAUUUAAAUUAUUUAAAUAAUAAUAAUAAUAAUACAAAAUUUCAUAAAUUGUUCUUUUGCUUUUCAACUUUUUUCUAAAAUAGUCUUUAUGAUUUAUUUAUUCAUUUAUUUAUUUAUUUGCAUGGAUAGUCUCUUUUGAGCAAACAUUGCAUGCAAAUGGUCUUUAUGACUAACUUUGUUAACAGAUUUUGUUUAGUGUUUGUGAAAUGACGAAAAUAUCAUUUGUUUUUAUAUUUUAUAUUUAUUUUAAUAUCUUGUAAAUUUGAAAUCAAAAAAUAUGGUCUACCCCACCCUUACUGAUAUGGUACCCUCCCCCUUUCUUCACUAUAAAUCUCUCCAACAUUUUGAGCCAAAAACGAAAUAAUGCAUCUAAUAACAUUCAUGGAGGUUUCCAAACCAACAUGGUAUGAACGUGCCCUAGUUUCAUAGUUGAAGGCGUCUUCUUCAACACCUACUUUCUAGCAUAUCUUGCUUCCCCUAAACUAGCACACAAAAUCAUGGGUUAUCUUGAGAAAGAAGUGAUUUAUUUAUAUACUGAGUUCUUGAAAGAGCUUGUUAAAGGAACCCUUCAAAACAUGAAAGCUACAACUAUUGUUAUUGAGGCGUCUUCCUGUUGUGUAACAUUUGUAAUUUGGUAUGUUUCCCUUUUAGCCCUUGAUGCAACAUCCUUACCUUUUUGGUCCCUAUCUAGUAUGCGGGACGUACUAGCUCUUUUCUAGAUGCAUGAUUCACCCAUGUAUACAUAUGCAUGGCGUACGUGGUGCAAGGGCAAACCUUAAUUUUUAGGGUUUGCACAAUAUUUAAACAACUUAUACUACCUUUGGACAUUCUAUUGUUCAACCUCCAUCACUCUCUACCCUAAAAACGAAACCCUAAGUGCUUUUGGUGAGUUUUGAUCUUGAAAGGGAGAUUUGGUGGUGUUUCUAGUGAAGAAGAAGAACACUUGGUGGUUGCUUGGGAGUAUCUUGGGCUUGUAGAUCCAGGGUCAUCUUCAUCUUAGCAAGUCAUUUGAGGUAAAAUGCUCCCAUCAUGAUGAUUCUUUAUGCUAGAUCCAACUUAGGGUGUUAUUUAUGCAUUUUUAUGUCUUUCGAGCUAAAGUUGAGCUUUUGAUCUACUCCAGAAGCCAUAGAUGUUAGAUCUUAGCUCCAUUGAGGUCCCUUGUUCAUAAAAAAAUUCAAACUUUAUGUAAGAUAUUGUUCCAUGCAAGUGCCAGAUUCUUAUCAAUCUUAUUUUUGAGUUUUGGGACUUAUUAAGUCAUUCAUGGGUGUAAACUUGCCAACUUUAUGUGUUAAGUCACCAUUUAGGAUCAGAUCUGGAAGUUUGCCUUAUUGGCUUAAUCGAUUAAGUGCUUUUUGAGUUGGGUUGGUAAUCUGGGGAGUACGUUGGGCGUAACCAGCUGGUACGCUGCAUGUACUAGCCCCGGAAGGAAUACACUAAGCAUACGAGCUGAGUACGCUAAGCGUACGAGCUAAGUAUGCCCUGUGUACUCAGUAGAUUGACUUUUGGUUUGACUUCCUCAGGUCUGGGCCAUAUUCUGGGCUUUUAGGGUUUGGGCCUUGUUGGGUCAUUAGACUUCUGACUCUGGGUCAUGGAUAGAAUAUGGAUUUUCUUGGGAUUAGGUCCAUGAUGAUUUUUGGGCCCAAUAGUUGGGCCUUAACUGGCCUUCUGACACCAUUUAGGAAUUUGGGCCUUUUGAGCAAAUGGGUUGGGCCUUGGUUUUUGGCCAAGUAAGAAAAAGGGUAAAAUGGUCUUUUAACCUGGAUAUUGGACAAGUAGCUUAGAUUCUUGAUUAUGGGUUGAGAUCCAAUUAUUAAUUGGAUAUUAUUUGAUGAUGCUAGCGUGAGAAUUUUCCAGACCAACAGACCAAGAUUUAUUUUAGAGAUUCAGUAGCUAGAGGUGAGUUUCCUCACUUUUUUAACGGGUCGAAAGCACCAAUGCGACCCAUGGUUUGUUAUGCUUAGGAUGCUAGUUAUCUCUGUGACUCUUGCAUAUGUUAUGUGUUUAUAUGUUUAUCGGGCAGGGUCCGAUGACUAUCCUGUAUUCUAUUUAUCUUUAUGAGUGUUGCAUGUGUUAUAUGAUUAUAUGUAUACCGGGUGGGGCCCGAUGCCAUGUGAGGCCUGAUGAAUGACAAAUAUGUUUAGAGUGGGGCUCAAUGUUGGGCGGGGACCGAUGUUGGACAUGGCCAAUUAUAUGGUUGAUAUGUAUGGUAUGUGGUAUUUUGGGGAAGUCACUAAGCUUUGUGCUUACGAUUUUCAGUUUAUGUCUCAGGUACUUCUAGUUCGGAGGGGAAGAGCCCAGGAUGAUUGCAAUAGACACACCACAUUGUUCUGCAUUUUUAUAUUACUCUGAUAUAUUUGGAUGUUGUUGAUACACUUUGAUUCACCAUGGUUUCUAUGAUAUUUGGGAAAUGGUUUUAUUAAUUUAAAAAUAGAAAUUUUUAGUCUUGAUUUUUGGUACGUUACAAGUUGGUAUCAAAGCCUUAGUUUGAGGGAUUCAGACAUAUUCUUGGGCGUGUCUGAACUCAAACUGAGGGUUUGGUAGAAUUUUUCGAAAAGAAAUGUUUUAUAAAAGGGUUUUCUAAUAAAAGAAACAGGAUGUGGUGCAUGAAAUCGACCGAGCUUAAGUUAGUUUUCCCAAAAUACCAAUACAUGUUUUAUGAUAUGCUUUGAAUUGUGAAUCUAUGAAUCGCAUGCUAGUUAGGGCCAAGUAUCUACUCAGGAUUUGCAUGAUAGAAUGCUAGGAGAGAUGCCUUUAUAUGUCUACUGUAUGAGCUUGUAGACUUGCAUGCUAGUACUGGUCAGUCAUUGAUAGGAUGUCCUAUUUAGAUUAUGCUUGAUUUAGAUUACUCAAUGCUCGAAUGUUGCUUGCUUUGUGCUUUUUAGGAGUUCUCACUAACUUCAGCUAACUAGUAAGCGAAUAUGCUAAGUUACAUAUUACAGAGACUAAAUAAUUUUAGAAGGUUAGGUUUUAACUCUAUUGUGCAUCUCUUGUUUGGGUGGUUUUGGCUACUUUAAGUGCGGUCCGAUGGGUCAUAUUAGUAAGGAUUACAUUGCUACUACUACCACCACCAUCCCAGUAUCUGAUCUGAUUUGUUUCCAUUGCAAUCAGAUGGACCACAAAAGGGCUCGUAGUUCGAGUUUAGCAGCAAUAUGACCAAUGGUAGCACCUGCUCCAGCGACCCUACGGAUUAUUGAUGGCAGCCAAGGCAAGGUGGAUACGCCUGUGGUGAGGGGUAGAUCUUUUCAGAUGACAGCCGAGGAGGCUCAUGCAACACCUAAUGUGGUGAUGGGAUCGUUCAUUCUGAAUGAUAUCUCUUCAUUGGUAUUAUUUGAUUCGAGGGCUACCCGAUCUUUUGUAUCGCUUGCUCUUAGCAAGAGGUUUGUUGGACCUCCAUGGGAGCUGUAUUGCCCCUUAGAUGUUGAGACUGUAGUUGAUCGAUUUUUUUGGGUAUCGAUGGUUCAUCGGGGUUGUGUUCUUGAGAUGUUCAGUGAGCAGUAUCUGAUUGAUUUAGUCCCUAUUACUUUGUACGGGAACAAGGUUAUUGUAGGGAUGGACUGGUUGAGCCCUAAUGGGGGUGGUGAUUGAUUGUGAACAUCAGUUGGUAUGUAUUCAGACCUAGAGAGGUGGAGAGUUAGUGGUUUAGGGAGAGAGCUCAACAUGGGCCGAUUCUAUGUUCAGCAACUAUGGCCAGACGCUAUCUUCAUCAGGGUUGUUCCAUAUAUGUAUCCUAUGUUAUGGAUAGCCGGGAUAAGGGUAUGACAAUUGUGGAUGAUGUGUCGAUUGUACGGGAGGAACCGAAUGUGUUUCCGAAGGAUAUUCCUAGAGUGCCUCCGGAGAGGCAAGUGGAGUUUAAGAUUGACUUGGUUCCUUGUGCGGCUCUGAUAGCUAAAGCACCGUAUCGGUUAGCUCCUUCAGAGAUGCAGGAGUUGUCUACACAGAUACAGAAGCUGUUAGACAAGGGGUUCAUUUGACCAAGCCAUUUUCCAUGGGGAGCAGCAAUCCUGUUUGUGAAGAAGAGGGAUGGGUAUCAUUGGAUGUGUAUUGAUUACCGGGAGCUAAAUAAGGUAACGGUGAAGAACCAUUAUCCACUCCCGAGGAUUGACGAUUUGUUUGACCAGCUUCAGGGUGCAUCUUGGUUUUCCAAGAUUAAUUUGCGUUCAAGUUUAUCAUCUGUGACAACCCGAUAUUUCAACUCCUUGUAAUGACCAAAAAGGUCAAGUACUGUAAUCACUUUUGAGUAAUAAAAUUUACUUUCAUAAUAAAAUGCACAAAUAGUUCUAUUUAAUUUCCUUCUAUGUUUAAAUGUCUUUGAACCAUGAUCGUACGUGAAAAGAACGCCCAAAUCCGAUUUCAUAUAGCGAAGUUAUGAUUUUUUCAAGUUCGGCUUAGCAACAAACAGCUAAAAACUCGAAUCGGAGAUCGAGCGACUUUUGGCCGGAAUGACCUAAACGAGAAUCGAAGGUCUCGACAAUGGUAUUCCAGCGGUAAAAAGUCUGGCAAAAACCGACAUCAGAUAAAGAAGUUAUGAAUUUUCAAAGAAAUUCCUUAAACACGAUGAGUUUAAAAUAAAUAAUAAAAAAAUAAUUUCGGAAUUUGCCGUCGGAGUCUAAACGAAAGUUGUAGAGCGUAGUCUCACCUACGCGUGGAUAUAAAGACCAUCGAAAACGGAGUUCGUAUGAAGAAGAUAUGAAUUUUUGAAGUUUAUUAAAUAAAUUAUAUAUUUAUUUAAUUCAAAAUUCGGACCUUAUCCGAAGAGGAGUCAGCGUCCUCAUCCGGGUACGCGCUGCGUACCCCUGUACGCCCUGCGUACCCGAGAGACUUGGCCUCUGAUCGUCCACGUCGCCCUAUCCGAGGCAUCCGACCCGUCCGACCCGUCCGAAGUAUCCGACCCGUCCGACCCGCUGUCCCGUCCGACCCGCCGUCCCAUCCGACCCGCGUACCCAGCAACCCGUCCCAUCCGAAGCCGAGGCAGUCGAGGCUUCGGUCAUGCAUGACGUACGCGUACGCGCUGCGUACGAGCGUACGCCCCGCGUACCGAGGCAGUUCAGCCUUCCUAUAAAUAGGAUGCGAGGGCUUCCGAGAAAAGGGCUCAUUUCUCUCCUCUCUCUCACAAUCUUGCCUCGUUUUCCGUGCCCGUUCAAACCCGAAGCUCUGGUCUUUUUGCUCAAGUCCCGAGGGUCGAUUUUACUCCCGAGAUUCCCGAGAAUCCCGAGGAAAAUCCGUUUCCCGAGACGAAACUCUGCCCGGUUUUCCAUCUCGCUAUCUUCAAACUUUCAAGUGAGUUCAUACCCCUUAAUUUACCUUUUAAAUAUUCUAUAAAUUCUUUUAUAUGCUUUCAAGGGGGGGAUUACAAGUAAAACACACGAGUAUUAUCGUGUGUUACAUAAAGAAACUCUUUUAUAUGCUGUUAUAUAUCCAAAUCACAUGCGAUUUAUAAACCUUUAAGGAACUUUCAUAUAUAUAACAUAUGUUAAAAUAGCAUUCUAUCUUUUGAAAUAUAAAUUUGUUGUAAUGCAUGUAUAAACUAAACUUUUCUUAGAUUAUUCUUGUCUAUCUUAGACUCUACACCAAAAAUCUAUGCUUUCAUAAACAAGUGAUUCCUUUUCUAGGUAUUUCUAAACAAACAAGACACACUUUUAGAAAACUAUAAUAGGUAUAGUUUUACGAACAAAUUUCUAACUCUUAUGUACUAGAAACAUGAAUUUCAAGAAGUUUACUUUCGUAUACAAGAACAAACGUAACAUUUUAACAAGUAGAUCUGUUUUUAUACCACGGUUUUGUGAGACACUAACUUCAUGUACGUUCGAGUACACAUUUCAAGUCCUGUAUUAUAUACCAGAAUCCCUUGGAGGGGGAGCAUGGUGUUUGUGUAUAGAUCUAUACGGGCUUGACAACCCGCGCCCUGACUGUUAGCUGCAGUCCACCGUUUGGGGUGACAAACGUCAUAACAUUCCAACGCCUGAAGAACGUUGUGUAUAGGCAUUCCGAGUCAAUAGUAUGGUUAUAAAACUCACAAGGGGUAUUAAAAAUGCAUUGAUUUACAAGGUUUUCAAACUCAUUGGUUAUUUUACACUUACAUACAUUUUGGAAACAAACAUUGGUCUUGAGUGAAGGCUACUUUUAUACUAGUAGAAAAUAUAGGAUUUUCUAAACACAAACAAACAAAGAUAAAACAUUUCAUUUCAUUCAAACAUUGUCACUUAAAUACUUAUGAAAUUCACCAGCUUAAAUGCUGAUCUACUCUUUCAAAAUUACUUGUAUGUCCCAGGAAAUCAGUAAUUUCAGGUAUUCAUUUCGCUUUUGAUGAAGGGAUGCUGCGGCGCCAGUUUAAUCUCGUAUUUUGACAUCAUAUUGUAAUUGGGUUUUGAACAUGUAACUUUUGACAAAUGUAAACUUUCAAUUAUAUAUAUGAUGGUUGUAUUGCUUUCUUUACUAUGUAUUCAUUUGUUACGUUACCACAUGAAGUCAUCCGCCCCCGAACGUUUCCGCCGUUCAGGUUUGGGGGUGUGACAGAUUGGUAUCAGAGCAAUGUUUAUAGUGAACUAAGUAUAUCGAACCACAUAAGAUAUACAAACUAUAAAUGCUUAAGGGACUAAUACUCUCUGACAAAACAAAUUUUCUUUUUACACUUAAGCAGCAUUUCGUUCAACUUAAAUUGAUAGUUCAUUUAAGUACAAUUACAUGCAUACCACAAACUAUUUUCAUGUUAUACAACUAUACAAGUAUUUAGACAAGUUGACACUACGAUUGAGACUCGAUAUAUGUAAUCAGAUUUUGGACAAAUAUAGCGUGAUCAACUAUAUUUGCCCAAGAUUGGACCAACGUAUAUCGAGGAAUGAUCGUAGUAAGCAACAAGUCAAAACUUACCAAACCAUUACAAGAAUCAAACACAAGAAUUUAAAUACUAUAGGAGUAUUUGCUAUCUAAACUAGUUUAACUUACAUGUUUUACAUGUUCCGACUUUAUUCAAUUCUUAUAACCCUAUUUCUCGUACAGUCAAAUGGCUGGAUUUCACCACCCUGGCGACCCCUACUUUCCCAACCAAGGCAACGGAGGAUGGAUCGAAGAUGAUCCCGAAGAGGACGAGGAACCCAUAGAAGUGGGUGAUGACUCCGGUACCGACUCAGAGCCGGAAGUUAUCGAUCCACCACCCAUUCAACCUCCCGUCUUCGUAAGGAACUUUCAAGGACCGACUCCCGUCUGGGGAAGUCACCUCCACCAUUGGAGCCAACAGCAAAACCUACGCCCUCCCUACGGCAUGUGCCGGGACUUCUAUGAUGUCCGCGGCGGAGGUUCGGCUGAUCGAGCACUCCCGGUAAUGGUGGGUAAGUUAGCCAAUCAGUCCUAUCAGUCUGGAGUACAAGCUAGUCGACUCCGGGAUAUCAACGUGGAAGUGCAGGUUCACACUUCUGACAUCCGUAGGCUGGACAAGAUGCAAGACAACGCUCAAUUCCAAACCGAAGCGUUUCAAGCGCAAAUGAUUGCAGCCCUCGCCGAACUAAGGGAACAACAAGCCGCUUUCGAUAGGCGUCUAAUGGAGUCAAAGCAAUCAGAUACGGAGUCAAGCUCCAAGCGCAACCUUCGACGCAAGUAGUGCUUGUCAAGGACUCAAAUUUUGUUAUAGCUUAGGACCUCGGCUAAAAGUCUUUAAAUUUCUCGAACUUUGUAAUCGGAGACCCUUAUAGGGGUCAAAUUUUCAUGAUCGUUGUAACAACUUUUAUAUUAAUAUAAGUGGCACUAUUACUACUAUGUUGAGUAUUUCGUUCGAACCUUGAAUGGUCUUUGUGAACCCAAAUACUUGUUUCAUACCUUCAGUCUUACAAAUAACUUUCAUUCUUCUAUUUUAAGACUCAUACUAUCAUCUGUUGUUGAACUAUAGCGAUUUAGUUCAUGAGACACAUACAUUUUCCAUUCUAUGAAAUUCUUAUCCUUGUCUUUUCAAUCUAUAGUUGAAGGAUGCCUCCGCGUAGGAAUCCAAGGCGAAACAACGGUGAGGAAGCACCUAUACCACCACCACCUCCACCACCCCAAUUUGAUGCUGUAAUGUUUCAAGCAGCAGUCACCGCAGCGGUGGCAGCUGCCAUGUCACAGAUCAAUAACUCGAGUACUAAUGGCUCGGGAUCUGGCACACACCUAUCCAACCAUGGCGAGAGUCAUGGACCACCUCGAGAAUGCACCUAUAAGGACUUCACUAAUGCCAAGCCCCGGAUGUUUUAUGGUACUGGUGGUGUGAUGGCCCUGAGGCAGUGGAUUGAAAGGACGGAGGCAGUCUUUGAAAUCUGCUCCUGCCCCGAGCACAGCAAGGUCAAAUUUGCAACUUUCACCCUUCUCGAUAAAGCUUUAACUUGGUGGAAUGGCCACGUUAAAGUACUUACCCUAAUCGUGGCAAACUCCAUAAGCUGGGAGAGCUUGAAGGCCAUGAUGAUGAGAGAAUACUGCCCACGGGGAGAAAUUCAAAAGCUUGAACACGAGCUAUGGACUCUCGGAAUGGUGGGUACCGACAUCGCUACUUAUACCAACAGAUUCUGCGAACUGGCAAUCCUUUGUCCAGAUAUGAUUGCUCCCGAGAGCAAGAAGAUAGAAAGGUACAUCUGGGGACUGACGCCCCAAAUGCGAUCAAGCGUGUUAGCUUCUAAACCUGACACCUUUGAAAGUGCUAAGGAACUGGCACAAUCUCUGAUCGACUACGGAGGUCAUCAGAACUCAACCACUUCUGCACCAGCACCACAGAAAGGAAACAACAACAACAACAACAACAACAACAACAACAACAAUGGCAGGAAGAGAGCGUGGAUUAAAGGGAAGGGUGGGUCUUCCCAAGAAUCCGCAAAGAAACAACUGGUGUCAGUAAAUGCUGCCAUUGUACCUGCUACAGCCCCUACAAAUACCUACCCAACAAAGCCUUAUAUAGGUAACCUCCCAAAAUGCACCAAAUGCAAUUACCACCACCAUGGACCUUGUCGAGAUAUGCAGUGCGCCAACUGCAGCAGGAAAGGACACACAGCCCGUUUCUGCAAGGAACCCGCAAAGCCGAUCACUCAAGUUCCCGGUGCGGGUGUAGGGCAGGCUUGCUACGGUUGUGGCGAGGUGGGCCACUACAAGAGAAACUGUCCUAAGGCAGCAGGCACCGGAGGUGUGGGACGAGUUUUGGCAAUAGGCCACGACGAAGCUGUAGCUGACCCAACUAUAGUUGCUGGUACGUUCCUUCUCGAUAAUUCAUACGCAUGCAUAUUAUUCGAUAGUGGAGCGGAGAGAAGCUUCGUGAGUCAAAACUUUAUUCAUUUACUUAAACCUAAACCUAGCAAGUUAGAAAAAUCAUUCACUGUAGAGAUGGCCAAUGGAAAAACCGAAAACACAAAUUGCAUAUACAUGGGCUGUACGUUAACAUUAGACGGCCAUUCUUUCCCAAUCAAUCUCAUGCCGGUUCAAAUUAAAAGUUUCGACGUCAUAGUCGGCAUGGAUUGGUUGAGUCUUCUUCGCGCCGACAUCAUGUGCUUUGAGAAAGCAGUCCGUCUUAACCUCCCUAACAACGAAACAUUAGUUAUCUACGGCGACAAAUCUAGUGCAAACCUUCGCAUCAUUUCGUGCAUCCAAGCUCGAAAGUGCUUGCGGAAGGAUUGUCGAGCAUUCCUAGCGCACAUCGUCGAUACAAGUCAAGAACUGAAGGACAUCAAGAGCAUCUCGGUAGUACGCGACUUUCCCGAUAUCUUUCCAGAAGAACUACCAGGAUUACCACCGCAACGCCAAGUCGAGUUCAGAAUCGACUUAAUUCCAGGAGCUACCCCAGUAGCGAAGUCGCCUUAUCGUCUUGCACCAGCAGAGAUGCAGGAACUUUCCAGUCAACUUAAUGAACUCCUUCACAAAGGAUUCAUAAGACCAAGUUUCUCACCUUGGGGAGCACCGGUCUUGUUUGUAAAGAAGAAAGACGGAUCGUUCCGUAUGUGCAUCGACUACAGAGAGCUGAACAAACUUACUGUCAAGAACCGCUAUCCUCUACCCCGUAUCGACGACCUAUUCGAUCAACUUCAAGGGGCGAACUACUUCUCCAAAAUAGACCUGCGAUCCGGAUAUCACCAAUUACGAGUUCUAGAGGGGGACAUUCCAAAGACAGCCUUCCGAACUCGUUAUGGACACUACGAAUUCGUGGUGAUGCCGUUCGGAUUAACCAAUGCACCAGCAGUAUUUAUGGACCUAAUGAAUAGGGUAUGCCGCCCUUACUUGGAUCAGUUCGUCAUCGUCUUUAUCGAUGAUAUACUUAUCUACUCUCGAAGUGAGGAAGAGCAUAGUCAACACCUACGAAAAGUCCUAGAAACACUGCGAACGGAGAAACUCUAUGCGAAGUUCUCUAAAUGCGAAUUUUGGAUUCGAAGAGUCGAAUUUUUAGGUCACGUUGUUAGCGAGAAAGGUAUACACGUGGACCCCUCCAAAAUUAAGGCUAUUGAGAACUGGUCGGCACCAAAGACACCUACAGAAAUUCGUCAAUUUCUAGGUCUAGCUGGCUACUAUCGCAGAUUCAUAAAGAACUUUUCGAGCAUUGCGAAACCUCUUACUUCAUUAACCCAGAAAGGUGUGGCCUUUGACUGGGAAGCGAAACAAGAGAAGGCAUUCCAGACACUAAAGCAGGCCUUGUGCACCGCACCGAUACUAUCCCUCCCCGAAGGGAUAGAAGACUUCGUAGUGUAUUGCGAUGCUUCAAAUCAAGGACUUGGUUGUGUUCUUAUGCAGAGAGGGAAGGUUAUCGCUUAUGCCUCCCGACAGCUUAAGACACACGAAGUGAACUAUACGACACACGACCUCGAGUUAGGAGCAGUGGUAUUUGCUCUGAAGAUCUGGAGGCACUACUUAUACGGAACAAAGAGUACUAUAUUCACCGAUCACAAGAGCCUUCAACACAUUUUCGAUCAGAAGGAACUCAACAUGCGACAACGACGAUGGGUUGAGUUACUGAAUGACUACGAAUGCGAAAUUCGUUAUCAUCCUGGCAAGGCCAACGUAGUAGCCGACGCCCUCAGUCGAAAGGAAUACACUGGUCGGAGGGUCAAAUCUCUGACCAUGACUAUCCAUUCCCACUUAUCCACACAAAUUAAGGAAGCACAAAUGGAAGCUUUGCAACCUGAAAAUGUGGCGGGUGAAUCCCUGCGAGGAAUGGAGAAGAAUUUAGAAGUCAAGGGUGGCGGAGCCUACUAUCUCAUGGACCGAAUCUGGACCCCAAAUCAUGGUGGUUUCAGAAACGUAGUCAUGACCGAGGCUCACAACUCAAGAUAUUCCGUUCACCCGGGUUCAGAUAAAAUGUAUCUGGAUCUUAAGAAACUGUACUGGUGGCCUAACAUGAAAGCAGAAAUUGCUACCUUCGUGAGUAAAUGUCUUACUUGCGCUAAGGUUAAGGUCGAGUAUCAGAAACCGUCAGGACUACUACAACAACCAGAGAUACCGGAAUGGAAAUGGGAGCGGAUUACUAUGGACUUCAUAACCAAGUUACCCAAGACGACAAGUGGACUCGAUACCAUAUGGGUCAUUGUCGACAGAUUGACCAAAUCCGCACAUUUCCUACCCAUCAAGGAGACUGACAAAAUGGAGAAGCUUACAAGAACUUACUUAAGGGAAGUAGUGCGACUGCAUGGUGUUCCGAUAUCCAUUAUCUCCGAUCGAGAUAGUAGAUUCACUUCAAGAUUCUGGCAGUCACUACAAAGUUCCCUGGGAACUAGGCUAGACAUGAGUACAGCCUACCACCCACAGACAGACGGACAAAGUGAGAGAACAAUACAAACUUUAGAAGACAUGCUGAGAGCCUGCGUGAUUGACUUUGGAAAGGCAUGGGAUAUUCAUUUACCCCUUGUCGAAUUUUCAUACAACAAUAGUUAUCAUACAAGCAUAAAGGCUGCUCCGUUUGAAGCCCUCUAUGGUCGAAAGUGCAGAUCCCCUCUGUGCUGGACUGAAGUUGGCGAUACCCAGUUAGCUAGAGGAAGAGUUCCUGAAAGCACUCUCACCGGUCCGGAGAUCAUACGUGAAACAACAGAGAAGAUCGUUCAGAUUCGUGAACGAUUGAAAGCCUCAAGAGACCGACAGAAAAGCUACGCUGACCAAAGGAGGAAACCUUUGGAAUUCCAGGUAGGAGACCACGUCUUAUUAAAGGUCUCACCGUGGAAGGGUUUAAUACGAUUUGGAAAGCGUGGGAAACUAAAUCCAAGAUACAUAGGGCCUUUCGAGAUUCUUGCCAGAAUCGGCCCUGUGGCUUACAAGCUUAACCUACCGCGCGAACUUAGUAACAUCCAUCCAACCUUCCACGUCUCAAACUUGAAAAAGUGUCUGUCCGACGAGACUCUUGUUAUUCCACUCGACGAGAUCGAGAUCAACGAGAGCCUCAACUUUGUGGAAGAACCAGUAGAAAUCAUGGACCGAGAGGUCAAACAAACAAAACAAAGUCGCAUACCCAUCGUGAAGGUUCGCUGGAACGCCAAGCGGGGACCCGAAUUCACAUGGGAACGCGAAGAUCAGAUGAAACAAAAGUACCCUCAUCUCUUUCAUGUUCACUAGUAUCUUUACUACUUUAAAUUUCGGGACGAAAUUCUCUCUAACGGGGGGAUGAUGUGACAACCCGAUAUUUCAACUCUUUGUAACGACCAAAAUGGGUCAAGUAUUGUAACCACUUCUGAAUAAUAAAAAGUUACUUUCAUAAUAAAAUGUAUAAAUAAGUUCUACUUAAUUUCCUUCUAUGAUUAAAUGUCUUUGAACCAUGAUCGUACGUGAAAAGAACGCCCAAAUCCGACUUCAUAUAGCGAAGUUAUGAUUUUUCCAAGUUCGGCUUAGCAACAGACAGCUAAAAACUCGAAUCGGAGAUCGAGCGACUUUUGGCCGGAAUGACCUAAACGAGAAUCGAAGGUCUCGACAAUGGUAUUCCAGCGGUAAAAAGUCUGGCAAAAACCGACAUCAGAUAAAGAAGUUAUGAAUUUUCAAAGAAAUUCCUUAAACACGAUGGGUUUUUAAUAAAUAAUAAAAAUAUAAUUUUGGAAUUUGCCGACGGAGUCUAAACGAAAGUUGUAGAGCGUAGUCUCACCUACGCGAGGAUAUAAAGACCAUCGAAAACGGAGUUCGUAUGAAGAAGAUAUGAAUUUUUGAAGUUUAUUAAAUAAAUUAAUUAUUUAUUUAAUUCAAAAUUCGGAUAUUAUCCGAAGGGGAGUCAGCAUCCUCCUCCGAGGUACGCGCUGCGUACCCCUGUACGCCCCGCGUAACCGAGAGGAUUGGCCUCUGAUCGUCCACGUCGCGCUAUCCGAAGAAACCGACCCAUCCGACCCGUCCGAAGCCCCGACCCGUCCGACCCGACGUCCCAUCCGACCCGGCGUCCCAUCCGACCCGCGUACCCAGCAACCCGUCCCAUCCGAACCGAGGCAGUCGAGGCUUCGGUCAUGCAUGACGUACGCGUACGCGCUGCGUACGAGCGUACGCCCCGCGUACCGAGGCAGACCAGCCUUACUAUAAAUAGGAUGCGAGGGUUUCCAAAGAAAGGGUUCAUUUCUCUUCUCUCUCUCUCAACUUUGCCUCGUUUUCCGUGUCCGUUCAAACCCGAAGCUCUGGUCUUUUUGGCUCAAGUCCCGAAGGUCGAUUUUACUCCCGAGAUUCCCGAGAAUCCCGAGGAAAAUCCGUUUCCCGAGACGAAACUCUGCCCGGUUUUCCAUCUCGCUAUCUCCAAAACUUUCAAGUGAGUUUCAUACCCCUUAAUCAACCUUUUUAAUUAUUCUAAAUACUUUUAUAUGCUUUCAAGGGGGGGAUUACAAGUAAAACACACGAGUAUUAUCGUGUGUUACAUAAAGAAACUCUUUUAUAUACUGUUAUAUAUUCAAAUCACAUGCGAUUUAUAAACAUUUAAAGGAACUUUUAUAUAUAUAUAACAUAUGUCACAAUAGCAUUUUACCUUUUAAAAUAUAAUGUUGUUGUAAUGCAUGUAUAAACUAAACUGUUCUUAGAUUUUUCUUGUCUAUCCUAGACUCUACACCAAAAAUCUAUACUUUCAUAAACAAGUGAUUCCUUUUCUCAAUAUUUCUAAACAAACAAGACACGCUUUUUGGAAACUAUAAUAGGUAUAGUUUUACGAACAGAUUUCUAACUCUUAUGUACUAGAAACACAUAUUUCAAGAAGUUUACUUUCGUAUACAAGAACAAACGUAACAUUUUAACAAGUAGAUCUGUUUUUAUACCACGGUUUUGUGAGACACUAACUUCAUGUACGUUCGAGUACACAUUUCAAGUCCUGUAUUAUAUACCAGAAUCCCUUGGAGGGGGAGCAUGGUGUUUGUGUAUAGAUCUAUACGGGCUUGACAACCCGCGCCCUGACUGUUAGCUGCAGUCCACCGUUUGGGGUGACAAACGUCAUAACAUUCCAACGCCUGAAGAACGUUGUGUAUAGGCAUUCAGAGUCAAUAGUAUGGUUAUAAAACUCACAAGGGGUAUUAAAAAUGCAUUGAUUUACAAGGUUUUCAAACUCAUUGGUUAUUUUACAUUUACAUACAUUUUGGAAACAAACAUUGGUCUUGAGUGAAGGCUACUUUUAUACUAGUAGAAAAUAUAGGAUUUUCUAAACACAAACAAACAAAGAUAAAACAUUUCAUUUCAUUCAAACAUUGUCACUUAAAUAUUUAUGAAAUUCACCAGCUUAAAUGCUGAUCUACUCUUUCAAAAUUACUUGUAUGUCCCAGGAAAUCAGUAAUUUCAGGUAUUCAUUUCGCUUUUGAUGAAGGGAUGCUGCGGCGCCAGUUUAAUCUCGUAUUUUUGAAAUCAUAUUGUAAUUGAGUUUUGAACAUGUAACUUUUGACAAAUGUAAACUUUCAAUUAUAUAUAUAUAUAUGAUGGUUGUAUUGCUUUCUGUACUAUGUAUUCAUUUGUUACGUUACCACAUGAAGUCAUCCGCCCCCGAACGUUUCCGCCGUUCAGUUUUGGGGGUGUGACAUCAUCAGAUAAGGGUCAAAGAGGAGGAUGUGCAGAAGACGACCUUCUAGAUUUAUUAUGGCCAUUACGAGUUCAUGGUGAUGCCCUUCGGGCUCACCAAUGCUCCAGUCGCGUUCAUGGACCUCAUGAACCGCAUAUGCAAGCUGACGCUGGAUCGGUUUGUGAUUAUAUUCAUUGAUGAUAUCCUGGUCUAUUCCUAUACCCAGGAGCUACAUGAGGAGCACUUGACGGAGGUUUUGGAAACUAAUAGGAGGGAGAGACUGUAUGUGAUGUUCUCCAAGUGUGAGUUCUAGUUGCGUGAAGUGUUGUUUCUGGGGACCUUGUCUAUGAGAAUGGUAUUUUGGUCAAUCCGGCCAAGGUCGAGGCCGUGAUGAGGUGGGAGGUUCCGAGGUCUCCAUCUACGAUUCGGAGUUUCCUUGGGUUGGCAAGUUGCUAUCGGAGGUUUAUUCAGGAUUUCUCAAAUAUAGCAGUUCCUUUGACUCAGUUGACGAAGAAGGCUGUCAAUUUUUGCUGGGGGCUUAAGCAACAUGCAACUUUUGAGACCCUAAGACAGAGAUUUUGUGAGGCACCAGUUUUAACCCUGCUAGAGGGUGUCAAGAAUUUUGUGGUUUAUUGUGAUGUGUCGAUCAUGGGUUUUGGUGCAGUUUUGACGUAGAGGGGUCGCGUGAUCGCUUAUGCUUCGAGGUAGCUGAAGCCUCAGAGGGGUCCGCUGUACUAUUUACAUGGAUCACAAGAGCCUGAGGUAUCUGAUGGAUCAGUCGAAUCUGAACAUUAGGCAGCACCGACGGUUGGAUGUGGAGAAGGAUUAUGAUUGUGAUAUCCUUUACCAUCCGGGGAAGGCCAAUGUGGUGGCCGAUGCUCUUAGCCGCAAGGCGGUUGAUGCCCCGAUCAGGGAUAUUUAUUUGAGGAUGACCAUGAUUACUCCACUUUUGGAGCAUAUUCGAGAGGAUCAGGUUGAGGCUAUGAAGGAAGAGCACCGGAAGAGUGAGCGUAUAGUGGGCAUGUGGUUUCUUUGAUCAUGAUAGCCGGGGGUUAUUGACUCUCCAUCGAAGAGUGUGGGUUCCAUAUUGGGAUGGUGACCGCCAGGCUCUAAUGGAGGAGGCGCAUAAAUCGAGAUUCUCCAUUCAUCCUAGGGCGAUGCAGAUGUAUAGAGAUCUUCGUCCUAAUUAUUGGUGGCCCUGUAUGAAGUAAGAUGUAGCUUGGUGCGUGGAGAUGUUGGGUUUUGAGCAUUCUAACACUCCUAUGGUGUACAUGCAACCCUAUAAACCUUGGAUCUAUGUUUUCUCUAUUAUACAUGCAAAUAUUAAAUAUUCCAAGGUUUCAUCCUCACUAACAUAUUAUGAAGCACCUAUACUACAAAGUUCUAGAUAGAUGACAUACCUUUUGAUGUAGCUAGAUGUCUUCAAACUUUAAGAGCUUAGCCCCAAUUGUGUGGAAGCCUCAAGUGGAAUCAAAAAUCACCAAAACACCCUGGAAGACUUUAGGUAAUAUGGAUACUUGGCUCACACUUAUGAAAUCGGUUAUUGCUCUCUUUAGUGUAUCCACACUAGCCACUAGCCUAAUUUCAUGAACCAUAAAACCCUUUAUAUAGUAUGGAUGAUUAGGGUUAAACCCUAAUACCCAUGACCUUUCAUUUCCUAGGAUGCAUGGGUUAAAGCUCCAUGGACUAUCCAUGAAGACUUAGCGCAACCUAAAUGAACUUGGCCCACUACACAUACACACACACACACACACACAUAUAUAUAUAUAUAUAUAUAUAUCUAAGAGUCCAUAUUUAAUUAGUUCCUUUUGAUCACUUAAUUAAUUAUAAAUUUGAUCAAUACUAAUUAAAUAAUAUGAUUAUAUAUUAAUAUAUUAGAACUUAUAAUAUAUUAAUAUAAAUCAUAAAUAUACUAUUCUCAAAAGACUAUCCAUAUAAAUUGUGCCGGUGAAGUGCAACCCAAAUAGACCAUGCCGGGUCAGGUCAAGUACAUACCAAAUAUAGUUAUGGACUUAGACAUUAAUCCAACAGUCUACCACUUGGAUAAGUCUAAAACUAUUAUUGAGUAUGACUUCAAAAACCAACUAGCAAUCGUAGCUCUUAAAGCCGCUGUCGAACUCUGAUCCUGUCAACGAACUCUGACCUUUGUCAAUGACUUGUCCAUUAGAUAAGGGAUCAUAUAUUUCUCCAUUCUAGAUAUCAUAUGGACUGAUAGAUGGAUUAUUAAUCAUUCUCUCGGUCCAUUUGAUGUUUCCCGAUUUCUGAUUCAUGAUGACUGACUGAUUGAACAAAUCAAAUCAGUCCUGACUUAGCCAAGCACUCACAUGUAUCAUCAUUAAAUCAUCGAGGGGCCCACAGAUAUCGCUUUUAUCCCGAAGGUAAAAGGAAUGGAUAAACUUCGACUCAUAUGGCUUGUUCUACUACUUGUUGAAUCAUACACAAAGGCACGUUUUAUAACACCGAGUUACCAAAUGCGUUUUCGUGCAAUCAAUGUACAACCAACUCAUAGUAACAACUCAUAUCUCUAGGUUUGAAGAAUAUAAGAUAUUAUCGUCUCAUGAUCACUCGUGAUAAAAUCCAUGAAGUGAUUCAAAUGAGCGCGGGUUGAAUCCAAUACUCAGAACUUAUGAGCACUCAUGAGUGUUGUAGCACAACUUUGUCCACCAACUUGGACCUCUACAAGCCAACCCAUGACAGUCUUGAUUCAUAUCUACUUCCAACAUAUGACCGACUGUGGAUGGUUUGAAUAACUUAGUCAUUCCGGAAGAAUAACCUAGUUAUUAUGGAAGUCAAAACAUGCAAAGUGAAACACAAGAAUAAAUGAAUCAAAUAUGGUAUCAAACCCUAUGAAUAUAAAUAGACCACUUUUAUUUAUCACCAUAUUGAUUACUCAUUAUUCAUUGUUUUGGUUUUAUCAACUUUAUACUUGAAUUAAAAACACUAGUUGUCCCAUACUCUAAGCAUGUACACUAUGGUUUUCUAAACAAUAGCUUUUCCAUACACCAAGUAUGCACUCUAUGGUUAUCUAUGAUCCUUACUUUGUGAACUAGGUCGAUUGAACAUAACUUCAAUGAUUCUCUUUUCACACUUCCAAAUCCUUGUCGUAAAUGUAAGAAUUCCUAAUAUUUAUUGAAAUAUGUUUAGAUUUUAAACUUAUAUGCAUUGUUCCUCUUGUAAUGAUUAUGCACAAAGCCACAAAGACUUGACAACAAUCAUUACAGAGUAUUCCAAUGGAGAUCAAUUCCAUGGAAACGAUGUCUCAAAUUCAAAGCGCAUUGCUUUGAACAUGCUUCUUGCAUUAAGUUUCUUUAACCUUACACAAAUUGCUUCCACCUAUGAAGACAACUCUAUAUUCCCAUUUUUACUACCACUUCUGAACAAGAGUUGCCUCUUUUCAGACUAUGUCAAUAUGGUCCUUCCAUUAUUAACAGUAUACUUCCAACUGUCCUUGAGCAACCAAUCUUUGGUAAACCUUAGAUUGUCCUCGACAAUUGCUUAAUCAAUUUAGUCAUAUCCAAUUCUAGACAUUUUCCUCCUUAAUGCCCCAAGGCAUUUGGAAAAUUCAUAAAGAAUAAAUAUUAUAGCACAUGUAAUCGAUCUUGUACCCAAAGUAAAUGGGACACGAUUCAUGAUGUUUCACAUAAAGACAUGGUUCUAGACCAGUCUUUUGCCAUAAAAAUUUUUGUUUGCCAUAUUCUCAAAAUUUGACUAUGAAAAGGGAUGUCGUAAUCAUAAUCGAAUUUUGAGAACGCAAUAUAUAGAAUUUUCUUAAGUUGAACCAAUCCAACAUGAAAUUCAUAUAUAUAUUCUUGACUAAAGGUGAUUAAAAUCUCAAUAUAAGCUCUUUAGAAUGAUUAUAAACUCAAUCUAAGCUUUUCAUAAUUGAAAUGAAGUAUAAUUUCCUCUCCCUUAAUUAUAACAAAACAAAUUUUUCAACCCCUGCAACUUUACGAAUUGAAACUUUUGUUUUCUAUAAUUAACAUUGCUAACUUGCAAUACUUAUCAUAAUUAUCAUGCUCCCACUAACAUGAUGAUUAUUAGCAUAACACUUAUGCUCCCACUAGCUUUGACAUGUAUCCAGAAAACAGAUGGACCUCUAGAAGUCAAUACUUUAUUAACAUUCUUACCAAAGUUAAGAUUUCUCAUACUAGAUUGCUUUGAUAAGACUUUAUCAAAAUCAUACACCUUAUCUUAGAUAGAUCACAAGUGUGUCUAAACAAUUUCAGAACUAUGAAAAGGGAUGCCAGAAUCAUAGUCUCAAUUGUUUAGACCUUUUGCCAUUUCUCAUAAGUCAGUGUUAGUGUGCCGGUUAACCAUGCAUGCUCCACUAACGACUUUGAGAACUGCAAAUAUCAUAAUUGCUAUCUACUUAAAAUCUACUUAGUGAAAGAAUUUCCUCACCAUCAUUUUCAUGAAUCGGAGAGAAACCUUAUGACACUUAGAUUUUAUGGUGUAUGUGUUCUUAUCCAUGUGAAUUUGUCAAACCAUAAUCACAAGACUAGGUUAGUGACAAAUCCUAACUCAUAUGGAUUGAACUUGUGUAAUCUUAACUUGUUGCCACCUGGCAGCUCAAGGGCCUGCCAUUGCUUCCAAGUAGCUAUGCAAACAAUUGAGAACAUGUAGAACUCAAAUGUAUAGCCAACUUAACUGGAAUGGGCACAUAAAUGUCAACACAAUAGGUUAUAAACCUCUAGAUGUGUGCUAGUGAUGAAAUAUAGGUUUUAUUCUUGAUUACUUCUUGAAACCCUUUCAUGAUCUUUUAGACUCCCACUGCCUCCUUGACCUAUAAGACUUUCUUGCCAAAUAUACAUGAGAUAGUGUGGAUUCUAAUCAAGACAAACACUUAACACAAUUGGCCUAAGUUGGUCUCUUUUUUAUCCAAAACAUCACAACUUACCAAAUACAAAUGUACAAGAGUAGAAAACCUUUUACUCUUACAUUUCACUAGUGUUAAUAAACCUUUUUUAAGAUGUGUCACUCAAGUUACAUUUGUGGUGGGCUUGAUCAGUGCACAAAAAUGUGUACUCGAUCCCUUAGUCCUUUACUUGACUCACACAUCCAUGUGAUCAAGUAAUUAGUCUUAAUUUUUCAAUGCUUGAAAGUUCUCAUUCAUCAUACUAUACAACUUGCAUGAUUCCAAGUUUCUAUCCAACUGAAACUUGGGUGAUGAGAAUCUUUCCUUAUUUGGAAAUUUUAGACACUACCACAAAUGAAAGAAUCAAAUUCAUAUUUCCACUCUUGCUAUUAAUGGAAUCAUAUAAGCAACACUUUUUUUUUUUCGUUUUCACAAAUGCCAUUGUAAGGAUAUUUUAAAAUAAAUAAAAUCAAAUUUUUUUUCCUUUUAUUUAAAAACUUUGCGGAAAAACUGUCCUUACAGUGCAAAAGCACAUGAAAAACUUUGUUGUUAUCUAUUCCUAAGCAAUAUAUCAUAACUCCUAAGCAACAACUCACAAUUCUGAUCACAGAACAAUGCGAUCGAGAUCCAUCUUUGCGAUCAGAAUCAACAUAUACUUCCUUUAAGUUUAUUCACUAUUCUUUGAUUCUUAAAACAUCAACAUGUGACCCAGUCACAUCAUGUAACAAGAAUCUCAUAAUAGAAAAUUAACAGAGUUAGAUUGUAGACUUUAUCUGAAGUAGAGUCAAUCUUCUUGACUUGAUCAACCUAAUGAUCUUUCAGGUAAAUAGGCUGCAUCGCAAUCAAUGCCCCUUCAUUUGGCAAGAGAAACAUAGGGACUCUAUGGGAAUGGUACAUGGGACUAUCGCAGACUUAGCCUUUCUCUUUACCAUUUGGUCAACCUAGUUGACUAUGGUCAAUCCCUUUCCUUGGGAAGAGAAGGCUUUUUUGAAUAUCCAAUGUUACCAUUGUCAAUGUCCAUAGUAGUUUGGGAAGUUGAUCUACUAAUCAAAUUUGCUCUCCCAGUGCUCCAAAUUAUUGCUGAUUUAGCAACACCAAGCAAAUAGAUAAGAUCAUUAAGGGUCAUGUCAUAGUCUGAUUCAUAGUAGUUCCAAAGGAAUUCAGUAUGUGACUUAGAAAGUGAUUGAACCACCAACUUUCUCAAGAGUUUGAUGCCCAACUCUCCCGGCUUGUCAAUAUGUGACUUCAUCUCCAAGAUGCGAUCACACAUAGACCUUUCUUGCCAAUAGGGCUUGAGUGAACUUGAACUUGUGGGUUAGGGAGAAUAAUUGGAGGAGGUGGAGGAAGUGAAGUUCCAAGAGAUUUGGGAGGAUCAUAGAUGUCUGAACCAUACAUCUUUUUGGGAGAUAUUCAAGAUAUUUGAUCUAAAGUCCUUAAUAUAACACCCAAUAUGAAAUAUUAAGGCUAGGACCCAUCAAACUAUUUUAUAACUUGGAAGAGGGAUGCCGGAAUCCAAGCUAUAAAAUAUUUGAAGGUAGGUGAAUGACGAUUCACCAAUUUCCACCAAGAUAAACGAAAUGUAUUAUUAGGUUUUAAUUGGUUUUGAAACUCCUAGAUCUUUUUGAUUCAUUGAACUUUUCAAAGGCAUGUUUCAAUCUCGAGUGUGCCCUUCAGGUUUUGUGACUGGGAUGCCGAGGAUCACAAAACAAGGUGUGAAGUAACCAUGCAAAUCACUUGGUACCCUUAAUAAAUUACCCCUCAAUCGAUGUGCCGGUUAACCACACACGCUCCAUCGAUACUAUGAUAAAUAUUAAGUCACCCUUUACCUACCUUGUUAAGUCCAAGUUAGUGUGCCGGUUAACCACACACGCUCCACUAACGACUUAGACAAAGUGUAAAGUGNNNNNNNNNNNNNNNNNNNNNNNNNNNNNNNNNNNNNNNNNNNNNNNNNNNNNNNNNNNNNNNNNNNNNNNNNNNNNNNNNNNNNNNNNNNNNNNNNNNNNNNNNNNNNNNNNNNNNNNNNNNNNNNNNNNNNNNNNNNNNNNNNNNNNNNNNNNNNNNNNNNNNNNNNNNNNNNNNNNNNNNNNNNNNNNNNNNNNNNNNNNNNNNNNNNNNNNNNNNNNNNNNNNNNNNNNNNNNNNNNNNNNNNNNNNNNNNNNNNNNNNNNNNNNNNNNNNNNNNNNNNNNNNNNNNNNNNNNNNNNNNNNNNNNNNNNNNNNNNNNNNNNNNNNNNNNNNNNNNNNNNNNNNNNNNNNNNNNNNNNNNNNNNNNNNNNNNNNNNNNNNNNNNNNNNNNNNNNNNNNNNNNNNCCCCCUUAUAGACCGGCUUCGUGAAUGAGGCCUACUAAUGGUAAGACGACUUGCUCUUAUACAUAUAUAUAAAUAUUAUUAACUUAUAAUAUUAUAAAGUAUAAGGGUUGAAUUUUAACUCUUAAAAUUCUAAGGGCUUAACUUGGAAUUAAAGUAUUCAUAAGUUAAAACUUUUCAAAUUCCAAAACUUGAGGGCAAGUUUUUGAAACUAUUCAAAACUUUUCAUUUCAUAACUUAUGAGUUUAAUGGUUCAUUAAAAUGAAGACUCUUCAUUUUUUAUGUAACCUCUUAUUCUUUAAUAACACUUUUAAAGAAGUGACUCUUAAACAUCAAUAACUUGAGGACAAGUUAUGGAGUCAUAAUACUAUUUAAUGAAAAAGACUCUUCAUUUUUUUUAUGUAACCUAUGACACUUUUAUGAGUUUUAAGAUUCAUAAAUGUGACCUUUUAUGUAACUUGAAGACAAGUUACAAAAACACAUUUUAUGAACUACCUCUAGAUUAAUUAGGAUUGAAAACAACUAAAACACAAUUUUCUUUUCCAUUAAUCUAAACUAACUUAUAAAUAAAGGAAACCUAAAAUUUUUGGUAAUCCAUAACUUAUGGAGUUAAAUGCUUGUUUUAUGAUGAAACUUUUCAUGUUCCAUAACUUAAGAAUAAGUUAUGGAAUUCUUUAAAACAUUAACACCAAAUUUUGUAACUCCAUAAAAACUUUGAAUCAAUUUUUUUAAAAAAAAAACCUUUUCAUAUCCAUAAAUUAUGGAGGUUUCAAAACACUUAAGAUCAUAACUUUAAAAAAAAACUUUUGAGCUCCAAAAUUUUAUGACAAAAUUUGUAACUCCUUAAAACAUUUAGAUCAAACUUUUAAAACUAAUAAAAUAAUCAUAUCAUUUUAUCUUUUACUAAAUUUGACCUAAUUCAACUCAUAUAGCAAAUGAUUCAAAUUUUACAAAUAAUUAGUUUUUCACAAAACAAGUAAUUAUCUUAAAAUUUGACAAAAUUCAUGUUUUUUUUUCUUUUUUUUUUUCAACUUUGAAAAUCAAACAUUUGCAUGAAUAUAACAGAAAACAACCCAUGACUCUGAUACAACUGUUGGGUUUUGAGUAUUCUAACACUCCUAUGGUGUACAUGCAACCCUAUAAACCUUGGAUCUAUGUUUUCUCUAUUAUACAUGCAAAUAUUAAAUAUUCCACGGUUUCAUCCUAACUAGCAUAUUAUAAAGCACCUAUACUACAAAGUUCUGGAUAUAUGACAUACCUUUUGAUGUAGCUAGAUGUCUUCAAACUUUAAGUGCUUAGUCCCAAUAGUGUGGAAGCCUCAAGUGGAAUCACAAAUCACCAAAACACCCUGGAAGACUUUAGAUAAUAUGGAUACUUGGCUCACACUUAUGAAAUCGGUUAUUGCCCUCUUUAGUGUAUCCACACUAGUCACUAGCCUAAUUUCAUGAACCAUAAGACCCUUUAUAUAGUAUGGAGGAUUAGGGUUAAACCCUAAUAACCAUGACCUUUCAUUUCCUAGGAUCCAUGGGUUAAAGCUCCAUGGACUAUCCAUGAAGACUUAGCCCAACCUAAAUGAACUUGGCCCACUACACAUAUAUAUCUAAGAGUCCAUAUUUAAUUAGUUCCUUUUGAUCACUUAAUUAAUUAUAAAUUUGAUCAAUACUAAUUAAAUAAUAUGAUUAUAUAUUACUAUAUUAGAACGUAUAAUAUAUUAAUAUAAAUCAUAAAUAUACUAUUCUCAAAAGACUAUCCAUAUAAAUUGUGCCGGUGAAGUGCAACCCGAAUAGACCAUGUCGGGUCGGGUCAUGUACAUACCAAAUAUAGUUAUGGACGUAGACAUUAAUCCAACAGGAGAUGUGCUAGAAUUGCAAGAAAGUCAAGGUUGAGCAUCAGCGUCCUCAUGGCAAGAUGCAAAUGUUAGACAUCCCUAUUUGGAAAUGGUAGGAGAUUACCUUGAAUUUUAUUAUGACGUUGCUAUGAGAAAAAGGAUCUGGUUGCACAGAGUCAAGGAUUGAAAACUCGAACCUUGAGUUAAUGCUUAAGAUCAAUGUCUGCUACUAACUUAAUUGUUCCAGUCAAGUCUGGCAAGACCAAUCAAGACUGAAUAUGAAAAUCAACAAAGUACUUCUAGUAUUAAAUAUAAGACAAUGAAUAUGAUUAAGUAAAGUCAAUAAAUGAACACAAGGAAUGUUUGACAGAAAGAUAUGAGACAAAGGUGCAAGUGAAGUAAAUAUAAGAAUAUCUAUCUUUGGUGAAGCAAUCCGUCAUUUGUAAUUGUCAUUGAAUGCUCCUUAAAUAGGAGAGUGUGUUACAUCGUACUAACCCAAAAACAUACAUAGGACAGGAUAAUAGAGUUACUCCUGACACUCUGAUUAUCUAACAAAACAAAAGAGACUAAGUCCUAUGACAUGCUACAUCAAGCUAAAUGACAAAAUUAAUUAAUACAGAUGCAUAGACACAAACUUCAUUCCGGAUGCAAAAUCCAUUCUGGAAUGUCUUCACUUCUUUCAGAACCUUUUCUCUAAUCUUCUACUCUGAAAAAAGUCUUCACAUUGAACUACAUACUGACUCUGGAACACUUACACUUCGGAACUGAGACUGACUUUAGAACUUAUUGGAUGAUUGCUAGAGGUUCAUUUUCAGGUUCCAAUAGUCUCCCCUAAGUGAACUUAGCAAUCAAGUUAGCUCAGUUUGAAUUUUCCUUGAUGAAAACGUAUGUCGUGUAUAACCAUUCUCUAACCACGAUGUACCACUGAAGCCGGCUUACAAACUUAGCCUUCACAUGCUCUGGUGCUUCGGACUUGGAUGCUCGACUGAUGAACUUCUUAAGUGCCUUAGUAGGAACCAAGUGUUUAUCUUGGACUCGGAGGAAGUCCUUCUGAUUUGUUUUUCUUUUAUGGUGGACAAAGCAUAGCACUGGUUCAUCGAUGUGUCAUUCUGCCAGGAUUUCAGCUUUAGGCAGUUUGAAGUCAAUUUUGGCCAGAUAUUUUUCCGUUUCGAACAGAUGGGCCAGUUUAUAGUCAUAUCGGCAGAAUUCAACAACGUAGUCCUUUAGGAAGCUUAAAGCAACAUGAUAAGCUCCAAUAAUGAGAUCAUUUGACUGAAUGCUCCCGAAGUGCGCAACAAUAGUCAAGAUGUCAUUUGGAUUGAUGGCAGGGAAGUCAGCAUCAGUAAUGGUCUUGCAAGUUGGUUUGUUCCGGAAGAUGUGAUACCGGAAUAGAAUGCAGUUGAGUUCAAACUUUGUCAGAACUUUCCUUAUGAAUCCGUAAAUCUUAGUGAUCCUUUUUGGAGAACAAACUUCUUUGAGAGGAAGUGCGUUCUUGGCAUAAAAGGUCUUCACUCUUUCAUGUUCAGUUCGGAUGAUCAUUUGAGGAUCAGCCUCCAGAUGGAGAGGAGCAAAUUUGGUGUAGAACUUUCUGAAGGGAGAUAGAGGCAGGUCUAUCUGGUCCGAAUCUUGAGUAGGGAGAUCAUAGUACAUGAAAGGCACUAUGUCGACAUCCUUUAAGAUUCCUUCUCGGCAGGGUGGAGAGAUCCCUACCAUUAGAUGGGGAUUGUCAUCCUUAAAGGAUUGGAUCCAGAUGCUGUCUUCUAGGGCUUGAUGGAUCUCUUCUUGACACCAGCCACUUCUUUCAAAAAAGUGAGGAACAAUGUAUGAGAAGUUUGAAAUGAGCUUCUUGCCCUUAUCUUUUGGUUUCUAAAGAGCAGAGAGGAUGUGUUAUGUAUUUUCAUCGAUCGUAAACUUUGGAGAAAAGGAAGGUAGAGGCUCUUCCGGAGUGUCAUCUGGCUUCCGGAGAGGAGAACCUUCAUCGAUGGGGGCAAUUUUUGGAGCCAGAAUAGGAGGCAUCAUUGAGGUGGUGGCUCGUAAGGCAUCAACAGUCAGUUUGCUUUUGACCUUAGCCAUUUCUAUGCUCUUGUGAAGGACUUCAGUCAUAGUGGAUGGCCAUGAUACAACUGACCAUAUUCUUUGUUCUUCCUCCGUAAGGACAUUAACAGGAAUCUUCCUUGGAGCUUGUAGAACUACACUCCAUUUUUUACAAACACAUCCUCAUCUUUACUAUCAUCAUCAUCAUCAUCAUCAUCAUCAUGUUUGCUAUCAUCACUGAGAGAACCUAAAAGGAUUUGCAAUGAGUCAUCAGAUUCAUCUCGGAGUCUAAACUCCGAGACAGGUUUCCAUGGGUGAGAUCAUAUACUUGGUCCUUCUCCCUCUCUUGCAAUGAAUGGCCCGACAAUCUAUGCAAGCAAAGCUGGCUCCUCCAGGUCUGAAAAUUUAUCAAACACCUUUUGGAAACUAGUGUUGAGCUAAAGAGUGAGGGCAUCGUAGGCUUUAGUAGUAGGAGCUUGAGCUUUGAGGUGAUCAAACAGUUGGGAGAGAAUGGAGAGCAUUUCAUUGAACUUAUGGUUCGGAACAUCCAUAAUGUUCCAACAUGCUUGAAGAAGCUUGAUGAGGACCUGUUGCAUGAUGGGAUUCAUCUCAUCCUUCUUCCAGAUCUCUUUCUCUAAUCACUGGAUCCGCAUCUCAUGACAAAUAUGAGUUUGCUUAAUGAGUUCAUUGGAAGCAUUGAGCAUAUCGUCAUGGACCUUUAGCAUCUUGGUGAGGGUGUCAAGGUAGUGAUCAAAACUUUCAUCGUAUUUCUUCUCAACUUCCUCGAUGGUGUGCUUGAGCCCGAGAGAGACGAGUUGAUCCAGCUGAGCUUCGCGUUCCGCAGUGAUAGGUCCGGACGUGUUGGUAGCGGACAAGGAGUUUAGAAUUGCAUUCAGUUUGGAAUCUAGCCUGGAAACCUUGACAUCAAGUUUUGUAUUGAUUCUAGCCAUAGAAGCUUCUAUUCCGUUGACUUUCUUCAUAGUAUUGGAAACACAGUCUCAAAUUUCAAGGAGAGCAAACGGAUCAACGUAGUUUUCUAUGGAGGAUCUGGUGUUCGAAGUGGAAUCUUGGGACUUGUUCUUGUCAGCAUCUUGAUUGCGUGGAUGUUUAGGAGAGCCAGGAGGAGUGGGAACAACAUUGAUCUUCUUGGGGGUGGAUCAAUGUCACACCCCGAACCAGACGGCGGAAACGUUCGGGGGCUUGUGCGUGACUUCAUCUUGAAAUAUCAUUACAGUGAAUAUAAAUGAAACAUAACAUCAUCAUUACCAUGCAUAAUAUAACAACAUUCAUUGUUUACAUCGAGUAUUGUAUUCAAUUAUUAAAUGCCAAAUUAGUCAGGGUAUGAUAACACAAAAUAUAACUAAGUAUCCAUUAGUUUGUUUCGCUCAACUUGCUUCAACGGUUUCUCGAGAAUACAAGUUAAUUUAAAAAGGUCAACAUAAAAAUGUUGGUGAGUUCAUAAGUAUAUUUGAGAAAAUGAUUUGUAUAACUUUGUAAUCACAAGAAAAUCCUGUAUUUUCUUAAAAUAGUUUGGUAUAUUUAUGUCCGAUCUUGUAUUAAUGCAUGUGUGUUAUUGUUUAAUAGAAUGCCAAAAGUGAUAGAAGAAAAUGUAAAUAGAAUGCCCCCCGGCAAACCGAUGUUGCCCAAAAAAGAAGAAUAGAUAAUGUUGUCGUACCAACACCAAGGUUGAAUACCAGUGUGAGUAAGUUUCCGAGUAAUCCAACAUAAAAGAAAAUAGUCUUCCGCAAACUUCAUAAUGUUAAUUCCUCUAAGUGAGCCGUCGUAACCAUACUAAAUAAUGACAAUUUCACAUGUCUUGGCAUUUAUGAAUGCCUACUGAAAAAUAGAAUAAGGUUAUAGUCACCCUAGACCGAUGUAGUCUAACUACAGCGAACAACUCAGGUGUGGGGUGUCAUCCCCGUAUAGAUCUAUACACAAAACCCCGCUCUCCUUCAAAUAGACUCUGAUUAUAACUACAGGCUACGAUCGUACACUCAAUAUGUGUCAACCGACAAAACUCACUAGAUUCUUAAUCGAAUUUACGUGAAGAAAAACGUAUAAAACUCAUUCCAGGCCCAACGAAGCAUCUAAGUGAGCCACUAAGGCAUCGCUAAAUAUGUGAGUCAUUUCAAAACCUAAUAUGAAUGAGAUUAUAUAACAUGCAACCGAAAUAUAUUUAAAAGGAAAACUAUGGCCCAUUUCACAUGUAAGGUAUUUAUAGACCCAAAUAGCACGCAAAUAGUAUACAAGGUCCGCCGCGCAUGUUAAUGGGUCAGUGAGGCCCAAUAAACAAUUACAUAGUAUUCAAGACCUAUCAAACAUAUAAAUUGACCACUAAGACCCGAUAACCUAAAAAAGAUCACAAUUAAUCCUUUUAUUAGUUUAUUGUUGGUUUUGGUUCAAUUAUUCCACUAGAAUAGCAUAAAAGGCCCACUUUUUUUAAAAAUGACGUUCUUGGCCCAAUAAGCCAAAAAUUUACAAUUAAGGCCCAAUUUUUCUAAAAACAACACUUUAGUCCCCAUUUUGUUCAAAACUUAUGUUUAUGCCUAUUUUGUGGUAAAAAUAACCUUUUAAACCCAUUUAUGUCAAAAAUAUCAAUUUGACUUGAUUUUUGUGAAAAUACACAUUUUUCUGGUUUUUGGCUUUUCUGACCUAGUUGUUGGAAAAUUUGUAGAAAAAUGAUCGUAAGUUGAAAUUUGGAUCCAUAAAUUCUGGAAGUUUGGAAAUUUUGUCCAUUUUGUUCACAAUUUUUCUCAUAAUUUUUAAUGGCCUCUAACAAGUGUUAAAUUGCUCACCUUCACAGGCUGGUCCGAAACUAUUUCAAAUAUGACAGGCAGUUUUGUAAAAUUCGCCAAAAAUUGUAGAAAAAUCUUUUGAAAACGUGAGUGUAGUCAUUUUAAAGGUAUAAACCUGAACAUUUUGCAUGUAAAACAGUUUUGAAAAAUAUUAUCAUUAGGUUUAUCAAAACAGUCCGAGAUUAGACCAAAAUGUUUCUGUCAAGGGCUGAUUUAUGAGUUUAGUUUAUAGAUCUUUGAACACAACACUCAUUUUUGCUAUUUUAAGUGUAUAAAUCCAAGUCUACAAGUUUACAUGGAUUAUAUGUGAUAACACAUACUUUUCUCACGGUUUUGAUGUAGAUCCAAGUGAAAAACUUAAUAUUCUUUACAUAUCUUUAGAUUUAGGAGGUAAAUAACACAUAGUCAACAAAUAAGUCAUGAGAAACACAUAUAUUCAUGCAUAUACACAUAGAUCUACACAAAGCAACUUGUAUUCUCCCCCAAAACCAAGUAAAAAUCGAAAAUAGGGGGUAUGAACUCACUUUGCUUUGUUGUCUCGGUUUGAAGAAGAAAUGGAAGAAGAUGACGUGAUUCUCGGCCCUAGCAAGCUUCUUGAGAGGUUUUUGAGCUUAGAUGGGUUCUAAGAUGCAAGAUCACGAAAUUGCAUGAGUUAAGAGGAGAUUUUUGAAGUAAUCAAGAAACUAAACCAUGGAUCUAAGCAAAAACUUACCAAGGAUGAUGAUUUUGGUGAAGAAUCCUCUUGAAUGAACCCACAAAUCUCGAAAUUUUGAUGGAAGAAGGAGACGUUCUAGAGAGUGUUUUGAAGUAGCUUGAAAUGAGAAAUAGAGGUGGGUGGUGGGUGUCUUGUCCGUGAGUAGAAGAGGGGGGGGGGGGGGGAGGGAAGAGGAGAGUGAUUUGAGGUGAUGUUGUAUGGACAUCCACCAUGCAACAAUGAGGUGUCAAGGGAGGAUAAUCCCUCUUUUUCCUUUUUUUUUGUGUGUAAGUAACUAUAUGGGCCAAGAAUGAGCUAAAGAGGAUGAAGAGGAAAUGGUUUGGUCUUCCUUGGCUUAGUUCGAAUUUAUGAAGCCCAAUUGAUAUUUUUCGGCCCAUUGGGACUAAUAGAAACAUUUAUGGCCCAACAAGGCCCAUUUGGGAUAAAAGAGCCCUUUUAGGUCCACAUGACCCAAAAUGCUAAAGUUUUAUGAAUGUGGUCCAUUUAGAGCCUAAUUAGGGUUCCUAGGCCCAAGAUGGUGAAGUUGGAGAUUUAUUGGUCCAUUAGACCCAAUAAGAGAAUCCUAGUCCAUAAUGAACUUGAGCCGGGAUUUCUAGGGUCUCCAACCCUUAUUUGAACAUAUGAGAUGUAUUUGAACGAGAAUAGAGUAUAGUAUUCACUUAGAUUACAGGCUUUUACAAUGGAUGAUGUUUACAUGGGAAUAGAAUUUCCUAGGUUGGACGUGAUCCGCCAUAUUGAGUUGUUCAUCAGCAGUUUCCAAAGAAGAGGAGGAGAGUGCGGCAAAUCUGGCCUAGACAAGGAAGGCUUGGAAGAAAAUGGAAAUAAGGAAAAUAGCUUAGGAGCAGCGAUUGAGGCUCCUUCAUCAUUAAACAUCACUUCAUCAGAUAGUUCUUCAUUAGGAUCGGAAUGCAUUACAUUAUGAGAUGGAUUCGUGGGAGUUUCUCCGGAAGAAAAUUCCAAAUAAGCUACAUCAUCAACAAGGACAAUGAAAGGCAUGUUGCUUUGGAUUGCCUUAUUCCUCAUGGUGAUGAGGGUUGUUUCCACUUGGGGUCUUGUGAGCUCCGGAUGCCUUGUUUUAGCCCUGUCAACAAAAUCUUCCCAUAGUGGGUCGUUAGCACUUGGUCAUCCUAUACCCUUACCGGGUAUCAGACCAGUUGAGGCACCGGAGAUUGGAGGGACUGCUCCAGCCUCAGAAUGCUUGGGGUUUGGCACAGGGGUUCCAGACCGUGCUUGUGUAGAAGGAAGUGAGAUAUCAAAAGUGACACGUAGGUUUAUUCCACGGGGGCAAGGAACUUUGUUCAACACCAACAUCACCUUGUUGGGAAGGUGAGGGUGGAUUAUGAGGAGACACCCCAUGAGUGUGUGCAGGUGAAUUUGAAACUCCGAGGGGUACCUUGGAAGAGUGGGUAGGUGGGGUAGACGGAUGACCAGAGUCAGCCGGAGUGUCAUGGGCUCCUUCCUUUUGAGAGAAGGAACUGACUUUGUUUCUCUUUCUAGCUUUUGGCUUUGAGGGAGAAGUCUUCCUUUUAGAUGAAUUCUUUUUCUUACCUCCGGAAGGAACUGCUUUGCCCUCAUCCGAGAUGGGCUCAAUAGAGACAUAGGUAGAUUGUAUAGCGCAAUACACAAUCGAAGUCUCUAGGUGUUGUUACAAGUAAAUGGACUCGGACGGAAUUAGAGCCAACAUGUGUUCUAGUAAACACCUAAUAGGUCUGAACGACUUUUGGUCCGGAAGGCGAUAUGACUGAAGAGUUUUGAAUGAGAGAAAUACCUCUUCCGGAAUGGCAAUGACAUGAAUUGGUUCACAACGUUCCUUGUACAACUGUUGAAUGGUGAGAGCUCAAAAUCUAGGGCUUGAAAUCUCAUGAGGCUUUUAAUUGAUGGCAAACUUCCAAAAGUCUUGCCCUAACACUUCAGUAAAAUCAACUAUGUUUGUUCUUCCAGAGCAGAUGUUGUAGACCACUAACAGCCAAUCCUUGCUCAGUGAGUCUGUACAACCAUGUUUGCCCGAUAAACCUCGAAUAAUGAAGUGCAUCAAAACUGUCCUUAACCCUGAUACUGCCGAUUUAUUGAAGUUCUUGGCUUUGUACUCUUCACUAUACCCAAUGUGAUUAAAAAACGAUUGAAACUCUUUAACCGUGGGUUCUUGAACUGUGAAGUUUGGUGGGUUUUCUUCAACCCCAAUAGCCUUCAAGAAUGUUGAUUUGGGAAUGGGUACAAUUCGAUCUCCAGUAAUGCGUGUUUCAAGUAUUCCAUCUUCAAUCUUGAUGCGAUCGAAGACUAUGUGUCGUAGAGAAAGAGGAAUGGGAGGGUCUGGAACCUUCGUAAGGGGCACAGAGAUUGGAUGAUGAGCAAUCAACUUGAUCAUCAUUCGAAUCAACUUAUCGUAGUCGUUUGGAUCUAGUAAGAACAAUUGAGUGGUGUCCCCAAGAAAAGGUUAUGUGGACAUUGUUGAUGAUGAACCCUUGGAAGAUUUCUUCUUAGUAGUUGAUUUCGAAAUUUUGGGAGCUGUUUGGGAUUUUUUGGUGGGAGAAGAAGAAGACGCCAUUGAUAAACAAGUUGAAAGCUUGAAGAACAAUUUGAAUGCUUGAAGAAGAUGAGUUUGAGGGUUUUGUACGCGUAAAGAGUGAAAAGAGGGUUUAAGGGAGUUUAUAUAGGUGAUGGAAAUGGGUCGGUUUAAAAAUGGUAAUGAUGAAGUACGGAUUGGGAAAUGGGUUGCAUUUAAUGUUUUGCCGUUUUUGGUGUGAGUUGACCUAUGGUGACGAAAGUUUCUAUUAGCUCAAGGCAAAAUUAGAAACCGUCGUUUGAGUGAUGGGAUGUUUGCUUUCCGGAGACGUGCAUUUGUGGAGCGGAUUUCGAGGGUGAAAGGAUAGGUAUCGAUAAAAGUAACCGUUGGAAAACUUUGCAUCUUAAAAACCUUUGGACUUCAGCAUGUGUUUGAUUUUGGAAACUGUGAGUUCCGGACGGUAUGAAGUAUGUUCCGGAGUGAAGUGGUAUUGAAAACAAAUCUAAAAGACUUAAAAGAAAUUCCAGAACUAGGUUUUAAAAAGAUUACGAAACACAAGUUUGAAAAGAGUUCGCAGUGAAAUUUUCAGGUAUAUUUUCGGAAUAAGAUUUUAGAGAUUCCGGAGUGAUAUCUUGAAAUUCCGGAGCAUGAUACUAGAAAUUCCGGAAGAAAGUUUUGAAAUUCCGGAAUAAGUGUUGAGAUGUUCCAGUGUGAAUUUCGAACUAAUUUCCAGAGUGUGAUCUGAAAAACUUUCGGAGCGAAAUUUUGAAAAACUUCCGGAGUGAAAUUUAAUACCUUUUCGGAUUUGAAUUCCGGGACAACCUUAUGAAGUAAGUUCCGAGGAGAAAAUUUGUACUCAUGUAAGUAUAUGGACUAUGGACUUCAUAUGAAGAGAUGAGCUGUACAACUUAAAACUCAAAUGGUGGUUAGAGAAAAAGACAAGUAAAUAUGAUCUUUUUUAUUUCGAGAGGCAAUAGUUCCGAGAUGAAAAACAAUUUGGAUUCGGAACAAAUUUUCUUUAUGAUGAUUGCUUCAGAGAAUGCAAGCCUCUUGAAAGAAUUGAGGAUUAGGCAUCAUCAUACCCAUUUUAUUCAGAAAACCAUUGAAUUUGGUUUCGUCUAAUGCCUUAGUAAAUACAUCCGCAAUCUCAUCAUCAGAUGGAACAGAAAUAAGUUUGAUGUUACCAUUUAAAACAUGAUCUUUAAUAAAAUGGUACCGUAUGUCGAUGUACUUCAUCAUAGAGUGUUGCAUUGGAUUGUGCGAAAUAACAAUAGCACUUUGCGAAUCACAAUAGACUGGGAUUUGUUGAAACCGGUAACCAUAAUCCAGGAGCUGAGAUUUCAUCCAGAGAACUUGAGAUGUGCAACUAGCAGCAACAAUGUAUUCAACUUCGACUGUUGAAAGUGCAAUGCAGUUUUGCUUCUUGGAUGACCAACUAACCAAUCAACCACCUAAAAAUUGACAGCCACCGGAUGUGAUUUUUCUAUCCAAUUGAAGACAACAAUAGUUUGAAUCUGAAUAUGCUUGAAGUAGGAAACUCUCAUUUGCUGGGUACCAGAUUCCAAGAUUUUUUGUACCUUUGAGGUAUCGGAGUAUUUGCUUAACAGCCAAAAGAUGAGACAUCUUUGGAUUCACUUAAAAUCUGGCACACAAACAUGUUGAAAAAAUGAUGUCUGGAAGACCUGUUGUGAGAUAGAGCAGGGAUCCAAUCAUUCCUCUAUACUUCUUUUCAUCAACUGCUACACCUGAAGGGUCCGAAAAGAUCUUGUGUCUGAAACCCAUUGGUACCUUGGCUGAGGCAUAGGUGUCCAUUGAGUACUUUUUGAGGAGUUUCGAAAUGUACUUCUCUCGGUGAAUGAAAAUUCCUCUAUUGGUUUUUUUGACUUGGAGACCAAGGAAGAUAUUUAAUUCACGGGUCAUAUUCAUUUGAAAUCUACUGACCGUUAACUUAGCAAAGUCAGCAACCAUUGAUGAAUUGGUGGAUCCGAAAAUAAUGUCGUCAACAUAAAUUUGGACAAGCAUGAUAUGUUUUCCAUUUGACCUUCAGAACAUAGUAGGAUCUAGAAUUCCUCUUUGAAAUUCUGAAUUCUUAAGAAAGUUGGUGACGGUCUCGUACCAUGGGCGGGGAGCUUGCUCAAGGCCAUAAACAACUUUCCGGAGUUUGUAGCAGUAGUUCGGAUAUGAUAGAUUAACAAAACCGGGAGGCUAUUGUAUAUAGACUUCAAUAUCAUGUUCACCAUUUAGAAAAAGCACUUUUCACAUCCAUUUGGUAAGCUUUAAAGCCUUUGUGGCCAACAUAAGCAAGAAAUAUUUUGAUAGCUUCAAGACGAUUUUGAUAGCUUCAAGACGAGCAACAUGAGCAAAGGUCUCAACGUAGUCAAGCCCUUCAAUCUGUGUGAAUCAUUUAGCUGCUAGUCUUGCUUUGUUUCGAAUGAUAACUCCUGAAUCAUCUAAUUUUUUCUGAAUCACCCAUCUAGUGCCAACAAUGGGGUGAUUCUGAGGAGGAGCGACAACUCCAAACUUCAUUUCUAUCAAAUUCUGCCAAUUCUUCUUGCAUGAUUGUAAUCCAAUCAGCAUGUUCAAGUGCUUCUUUGAUGGAUUUGAGUUCAACCAUUAAGAUAAACGCCGAGAAAUGAAAUUCAUUUUGAACACUUGUGGAAAAACGAGUUUGUACACCAGCAUUUGGGUUUCCAAUAACUUGGUUCGGAGGAUGAUCCUUACUCCAAACAUGUAGUCUCAGAAGUUCUUGUGCAGCAGAUGAUCCAAUAUCAACAAUAGAGUUGUGUUGCUCCCCCUGAAUAGUUUGAAUGUGUGGAUGAUACUCCCCCUGAACUUCUGAACCGGAUAGGUUAACGUCAUCAUAUGGUGAGAAAUUUAAGAAAUUUGCAUCAUCAUCGAUCUUGAUAGGAUUAGAGUCAAAUUCAAUAGAUGCAUCUUGAAAUCCAUCCACAUUUGAUUCGAGGGAAGGUUAACCAUUCUCCCCUUCAACCUGAGAAGGUUGAAAUGGAUCAGAAAAUGGAGGAAGACUGGGUGUUGGACCAAAAACAUUUUCAGAGACCGGAGCUUCGGAUGUGGUUUGUCUUGAUCGAGAUUUCGAAUCAAGAGCCGUUUCUGAGGGUCCGAACAAGGUCUCAAAGUCAACUUCAUACAUUGUUUGUUGGUUUGGGUGUCCUGGCGCUGGUGCAUCAAACUCCAUGAUGUGAGUUGUAACGUGGGUUGGACCGAAAUUCAAAACGAAAUUGUCAUCAAAGGUAACGUCAAAACUUUCUUCCAGAACACGAGUUCGUCGAUUAAGACUUGAUUAGCCUUUGAUUUAGCAGAGUAUCCAAGGAAGAUGGCUUCACCAGCUUUGGGUUGGAACUUGGUAAGCUGAUCACGAUUAUUCUUGAUGAAGCAUCUACAUCUAAAAACAUGAAGAAACAAGAUAGUUGGCUUCCGACCAUUCAUGGCUUCGUACGGUGUUUUGUUGAGGCGUCGAUGGAUGAUUCUUCUAUUCUGAGUAAAUCAUGCUGUGGAAACAACUUCACCCCAUAGAUAGAGUGGAAGAUUUGCAAAAUUGAGCAUGGAUCGAGCAGCUUCAACAAGUGUCAUGUUUCGUCAUUCGACUACACCGUUUUGUUGAGGAGUGAAUGGAGCAGAAAAAUUAUGGUCGAUGCCCUUCUCGGUGAGGAAGUUUUCAAUGGUGAAAUUUGUAAAUUUCGAACCAUUUUCACUUUGCAUUCUCCUUACUGGGAGUUUGAUGAGAACUUCAAUUCCAUUGAUAAAGUUGAUGAGUUCGGAGGCUGUUUCUGACUUGAGCCAUAGGAAGAAGACCCAAGUGAACCUAGUAAAGUCAUCCACAAUCACAAGAAUGUAUUUUUUUUGUGAUGCAAACUCUCUAUUGUUGAUGGUCCACAUAGAUCAAUGUGUAGAAGUUCUAAUGGUUCCGAGAUUGAUUUUUGAAUGAUUACGGGAUGACCUUUCUUUAACUGCUUUCCACACUCACAUGUAACACAUAAAUGAUCAUUUUCGAACUUGAGGAGUGGAAGUCUUCUCACCGUUUUCACCAGAACCAAGAUCAUUUAUAUACCUGAAAUUCAUAUAAGCAAUCCUUCAGUGCCAUAACCAACUAACACCAGGAACGAAUUUAGAGAGAAGGUAGAGUUGAGGUUUGCCAAUAAUCAUGUUGAUGUCGAGAGGGUACAUGUUCUUGUUGCGGUUUGACUUGAUUAAGAAUUCUUUUCGGUCUUCAGUCAUGAUGUAGCUAUGUUUCUUACAGAAUUCAACUCGACGAUUUGCAUCAGUGAGUUAAGCCACACUUAUAAAGUUAUGCUUCAAGUUAGUUACAGAUGCCACAUUUGAAAUGAAGAAGUUGCCAUUUGUAAGGAUGCCAAAUCCUCAGAUCUGAGAGUUGGAGUUGUUGACAUACGUCACAUAGCCAACAUUUGGUGAAAGUUUGAGAUCUCGCAGAAAGUCCUUCUGCCCUGUCAUGUGCAUGAAGAAAGCACUAUCAAUAUACCAUAUUGUUUCUUGCUCAGAAGCAUAGAGUGCCUGCAAAAUUAGUGAGUUGUGGAGUUUUUAGGCUUCGAGUUAGGUUUUGGGAUAAUGGCACGAGUCUUAGGCUUUGGUUGUGACUUUUGAGCAACAAAUGAUAUAGGAGAUUUUUUAUGAUAUUCGUUAGGAAACAAACAAAAGGCCAUGGUCCUUUCAUCUAUCCAAUAGUCAUAUUAAACAAUAUAAGGAUUUGGAACACCUUUCUUCGUACAUUCAACUUUCGGAGUGGUGAGAACUAUUGUGACUUCCGGAGUUGUAAUUUCAUCAUUGAGUUUUUUAACUUUCCAAACAAGAUUUUGUUUUGAAGAUUUUGAAGAGAUUGUUUUCUUAACAACUUUUGGUUUGGUUGAUGAUACAUUUGAUUUAUAAAGUUGAGGUUUGAAAAUUGUACUAUCAGCUUUGGCAAUGAAAACGGAUGAAACAGUCUGAGGAGAAUUGGUUUGGAUGGAUUUGGUGUUUAUAGUAGACUCUUUCAGGGUUGGAUUUGUCACUUUAUUUUGUUUUACAAGACUGGGAGGAUUUGAAGGCCUCUUGAGGAUCUUAGUGUGUGUGAAGGUGUUUUUACUAUGAAUUGAUGAAUGAGAAUUACGAGAUACACUCUUUUUGGAGUUCUCAAGGAAUCUAGAAUUUUGUCUUGACUUAACUUCCUUUUUGUGAGCAUUUCAAGCUUCUACCUUAGGAUCGACAAUAUCUUUUCUAUUCAACAUGGGCUUUCUUUUUGAAUGAGAUGAAGAUUUGGAAGUUUGUCCUACUGAAGGAUUGUUGAACACAUGCUUAAUGAAAACUAGUUUUGUUUUGGAAAUCACUUGAGGUUUAAAAUCACAUGAGAUUGACUCAUCAACUUCACUAUCUAAAGAUGCCCAAACACACUCUUAGAGUUCAGGUCCAGUUGAUCCCUAAAAAAUUUCCUCAACAAUACAGUUGUUAGGUGGGCUGUGAUUCGAAUUUCGAACAACAAAGUUUGGAAUACCAAAUAGGGGUUCCAAGGUUCGAGUUAGGUCCAGGUUUGUCAGAGGCAGAAAAGGCGUGGAAUCGGGACACUUGACAACUAUGGGCUUAAAAUCAGGAAUUAGUGAUGUAAAUUGGUCAGAAGUCUCAAGAAGGGGUGAAAAAGGCGAGACAUGGGUAUCAGAAUGUUUGAUGUUCGGAACGUCUCAUGUAAAAGUUAGGUUUUGUAACUCCUUCAAGGGAUGAGUAAUUGGUUUUGGAAACUCGCUUCCGAGACCAUGUGCUUUUGACUAAGGAUGACGAAAAUCGUGAGUCAUCCGAUCAUUUGCUUCACGAAUAUCUAUGGAAUUGUGCAAAGCGUCUAUUUUAGCAUUGAGAUGUUUGUUGUCACAAACUAAAACAUUUCUUUCAGAAUAAGUGAUUUCACAUUUGUCUUUAAGAAUGAUACAUUCAUCUUGUGACAUUACAAGCUCUCGUUUUAAAGACUCUAUUUUCAACUUCUUAUCCUCAAAACGUAACCUAAGAUGACUUAAUUCCCUUUCCUUCAUCUCACUGGCUUCUAUAGCUGACUCAUAGGCUUUGUAAAUGAUGUUCAUAUAUGAUUAGAUCUGGGUUAGAUAUGGUUCACAAAGAGAUAAAUCAAAAUUAUUAUUAGUAAUCAUAGAUUUUACCUGUUGAACGAUGCUUCUAUCGGGUGGAUCGUUGGUAGCCAUGUAGCAAUAGUUUAGUUCAGCAACUUCAUCAUCUCUUUCGGACCCAAUCGAUCAGUAGCCUUCAUCACAUUCAAUUUCUUGUUGUUCCAUAAGACAUGUUUCUGCCUGUGGUUACAUCAUCAUCAUCUCCAGACGACCAAUACCCUUACACAUCUCUUGAUACAGUUGUAACAAAAGCCUUUUCACUUUCUGCCAAUUCUUAAGCUUGUUGUGCAUAAUUAGCAGAGUCCUUGAUCUUGGAUUUUUGUGGGACUUCGGAUAAAAAAUCUUUUGCAAAGUGGUUUGCAUGACCACAUUUGUGACAUACAAUCUUGGGGUUUUCAGACUUCGGAAUCUGUGGAGGUUCUGAGGUGGGAUUCAAAGUAGGAAGAUUUUGCUUGUAGGCUGGUGGAUUUUCGGAAGGUUUGUUGAAUAGUUGAUGAUUAUUUUGGUGAGGAGCUUGAAAACGAUUAUUUUGGUGAGGAUUUUGGAAUCGAUUGUUCUGAGGCUUGUUGAAAGGACGGUUGAAUUUCAUAGAGACUAGGGCAAACACUUGUUGGAAAGGCAAUUCGGAGUCCAUUUCUUUAGAGUUAAGAUCACUCAUGGAUUGAUAUUUAGAAUUUGUAAGAAUAGGAAUAGUUGGAGGUGAGGGUUGAACAUGAGGAAUAAAAGGAACAACAGUAGUGAGGGGGUCCGAAGCGGUUUGGUUUGAGGUUUGUGGAUCAUAAGAACUGACUAGAGCUAAAGGACCUCCAGUGAGUUCACGUAGAGUUUGUGCAACAUUUGACUCAUGACCUUGAAGCUCAUCGAAAAGUUGAUAAACAUUGAGCUUUUUCAGAGACCCACUGCUCUGAAUACAUGAUUUCACAUUACCCCAUCCCUUUCCAAGACUGUUAAUGAACUUAAGAUUGUACUCAAGUGGAGUUCGGACUAUCCCAUGAGUGGUCAUGUUGUUGACAACGAUCCGAUAUCUGUUUGAAGCUGAGGCAACAGAUUCACCAGGUGUUGUAGUGAAUGUGUCGAACUCAUUGACAACCAAAGUAAGGCGCUUAUCCUUCAUGUUGUCUGACCCUUCAAAAAAAUCUUAAAGUGUGUCCCAAAUCUCUUUUGCGGACUUGCACAGUUUGAUAUGCUUAAAGAGAGAAGCUGGGACACCAAACACCAUUUCUGAAAAGGCAACUUGAUUAGCAUGCAACAUUUCAAGAUCAUCAGCAAUGAGAGGUGCUUAUCGUUGUUGAUCCUAUCCCAAGAGAGUUGUGGCAGCAUCUCUAACAAUGGUUAGAACUGGAGCAUGAGGACCUUCUUUAACGGAUCUCUAGAUAGAUUCACCUUUCUCUUUUCCAAGUAAAAAAUCUUUCCAUUCUGACUUUCCACUGAUCAUAUUCUUCAACAACUAGUAGUGGGGUACGUGUAGGGAAACCCACGCUAUUUGCUAUUUGUAUUGAGUAGAUUUGUUGAGUAGUAGAAGCAGCCAUUGAAGUUAAGAUAUUGAGCAAAAGUGGUAUAUAGAAGAACUUUUAUCCUGAACACAGAAAUGACCGAAAUACCAAUGUAAUCUCGAAUCAACUAUAAUAUGUUCUUAUGGAUUCAAAGGAAAAUCACUCAAGAUAUGAUACCAAUUGUGAGAACAAGGAUCUGGUUGCGCGGCGGCAAUGAUUGAAAACUCAAACCUUGAGUUAAUGCUUAAGAUCAACGUUUGCUACUAACUUAAUUGUUCUAGUCGAGUCUGGCAAGACCAGUCAAGAAUGAAUAUGAAAAUCAACAAAGUACUUCAAAUGUUAAAUAUAAUACAAUAAAUAUGAUUAAGUAAAGUCAAUAAAUGAACACAAGGAAUGUUUUAUAGAAAGAUAUGAGAGAAAGGUGCAAGUGAAGUAAAUAUAAGAAUAUCUAUCUUUGGUGAAGCAAUCUGUCAUUUGUAAUUGUCAUUGAAUGCUCCUUAAAUAGGAGAAUGUGUUACAUCGUACUAACCCAAAAACAUACAUAGAACCAGAUAAUAGAGUUACUCCUGACACUCUGAUUACCUAAGAAAACAAAAGAGACUAAGUCUUUUGACAUGUUACAUCAAGCUUAAUGACAAAAUUAAUUAAUAUACACAGAUAGACACAAACUUCAUUCUGGAUGCAAAAUCCAUUCCAGAAUGUCUUCACUUCUUUCGUAACCUCUUCUCUGGUCUUCUACUUUGAACAAAGUCUUCACAUUGAACUACAUACUGACUCAAAAAUAAUUACACAUCGGAACUGAAACUGACUUCAGAACUUAUUGGAUGAUUGCUAGAGGUUCACUUUCAGGUUCCAACAAUUUCCUUGGACAACACGUAAAGUGGAUUCGAUUUGGGUCGUCGCUGAUCGAUUGAAAAAGAGCGCACACCUUUAAUCCCAAUUCAAGAUAGUAUCUCUGCAGAGAAUUUUUCCGAGAUAUACAUCAGGGAUGUCGUGGCACAACAUGGGGGUCCAGUUUCUGUGGUUUCAGACAGGGACCUCCGGUUUACUUCCAAAUUUUGGAAGAGGUUCCACGAUGAUUUAGGUACUCACAUGCACUUCAACACGACUUUUCACCUACAGACUGAUGAAAAAGCGAGCGAACUAUUUAGACCUUGGAGGAUAUGCUUUGAGCAUGUGUAUUUGUAACCCCCGCAGAUUCGGGCUAGUUGCCAGUUUCUGUGGUUUCAGACAGGGACCUCCGGUUUACUUCCAAAUUUUGGAAGAGGUUCCACGAUGAUUUAGGUACUCACAUGCACUUCAACACGACUUUUCACCUACAGACUGAUGAAAAAGCGAGCGAACUAUUUAGACCUUGGAGGAUAUGCUUUGAGCAUGUGUAUUUGUAACCCCCGCAGAUUCGGGCUAGUCAAUUUAGAGACAAUGAGCGUCAAAAUGAGUUUUUGAUGGAAGAUUAUUUAGAAGAAUUAAUCUUAACCAAGUUGUGGUAUAUGUUACCAGGGUUCCGUACAUAUAAAGAACGUUGAAAUCCGAGUUAUAACGAAGAAGUUAUGGCCCGUCGAAGUUUUACGGCAAAAUUGGCACGGCACCGGGAGACGUAAAUAGUGAAUUUAUGAUAGAGGAAUUUUUAGCCUCAGUGAUCUAAAAAAAUUUGUAGUAUAUGUUAAACCGAGAACAUACAAAAAAAGAACGCCCAAAUCUGACUUCGUAUGAGAAAGUUAUGAUUUUUCUAAAAUUUAGCAUAAUAGUGCACGACCCGAAACUCGAAUUUUAGUUCGGGCGGUUUUUGGCCUACACUACCUAAAUGAGAGUUGAAGAUCUCAUUAAUAGGAACACGACGAUAAAAAGACAGAUAAAUACAGAGUCCGUAUGAAGGAGUUACGAAUUUUUCGCGUUCAUUUAACAGUAUAAUCUCCUCGUACUGUUAAAUUUAAGAUCGAUCAAGAAUUAGCCGAUGGAGUCAAAAUGAAAGUUGUAGAUCUUGCUUUUUCCUACGCGUGGAUAUAAAGAACGUCGAAAACGGAGCUCGUAUGCGAAAGUUAUGGGGUUUAGAAGUCGGCAGGGUGCUGUUGUGAAAGGGGUGACGUGGCACAAUGUAGGUCUCACACGUUUUGCCACUAGAAAGCUGACAUGUGGCAUGGACUCAGCGAGUUGGAGUUUAACUCGGCGAGUCGAGCUGCCAGGAAGCCUAUAAAUAGAGGUGUCGGGUUCCCUUCAUUCUCCACACCAGCCAACUUUACUUUCUCUCUCUAUCCUCCCUUAAGCCCCCUAAAGUCUAAGUAAACCCCCUAGCACCCGAAGGAAGCCUCGAGAAAAGAGCCAUUCGGUUCAGAAACUCUGCUCUAGCGGAGCCUAGUUUUCGAGAAAUCUCGCUUUAAGUGAGCUACGCCUAAUCUAUCUUUAGUAUAGCUUAUGUUUCAAUAUAGUAAUGUCAUUAGGAACUUAGAAUGAGUAUUUGGGCUAUUAUUAUGAGUUAUAUAAGUGUCGUUAUAACAUAUUUUUAACCACUCGCGGUACGGGGAAUCUGGUUUGGAGGGCCGCUUGGGUUGCUGGAUUCAGAAUUACUAUAUGCCAAAAUGAUCCUGCCCUCCGGUGUUCCAUGUCUAGCCCCUGUCUAUACAUAGUGGGUGAAGAGUAUUGUUUAACAUUUAUAUAAUAUUAAUAAUAGCUAGACUAUUAAUUAGUCUCAUCAAACAUUAGACUAAACUCUAGUGGUAAUGAUACUAGGUUUUGUCUGAGGGAAAUUGUUUUAACAGUAACGAAGUGUUGUCCGAGUGCCGAGUCACCACCUUAUCAGGCGAGUGCAUAGUUACUUUCAUCUUACACAUAGAUAUAAAGUAUUUUAUAUAAACUACGUGUUAUGUGUGCAUAAUGUCUGAAUACUUGUUGUCUAUGCUGGGUAAAAGAUUUUUACACAUGUUGUAAAUGAUUUAAAUUGUAUAUGUAUUUUAUAUCUACAAAAUGUGUUGGGUAAAACAUGGGUAGAUGAAAUAGUUGCUAUGUGACAAAAAAAAUGAUGAGAGGUGAUAUAGACCAUGAGAUAAGGGUGAGAGGUGAACCACAAGAGAAGCCUUUUACCCAAGUGUUGGCCCCGUCAUCUAGCAGAGUAUGUAUGACAACCACAGACUAUUCUAGACAGUCGAGUUGAACACUAGCAGGCUCGCAACAAGUAUGUGUUUAUUUGAACUGUGUAUUCACCAGCUAUACUCUAAAAACCCAUUGACAUGUAUUGCGAGUGGAAUCUCGGAAACGAUACUGUGGAUAAACGAGAUAAAAACCCAUUGACAUGUAUUGCAAGUGGAUUCUCGGAAACGAUAUUGUCGAUAAACGAGAUAAACCCUGGCAACUAUGGAUUUAGUGCCUAUUGAGUAAACCCUGACAAUGAUAGAUUUCGUGUCUAUUCCUUAGGAUAACCCUUAGGAAUAAAUGAACGAGGAAUGGUUGAUUCUUAGGGAAGAAUCAAGAAGAUAAUGGGGAUGGGUAAUUGGGUUAACUGUUUGAUGAUUAAACAUAAUGAUUAUAUUAUUGUCGGUUGAAAACCCUAUGUACUCACCAGGUUUCCCAACCUGACCCACUCCUGCUUAUUUGUAUCACAUGUGUCGAUACGAAGCUACCUUACACUGAGAGACUUAAAAGAGAUAUAGAUCACUAGUGUAAAUGAAUGCAAGUUCUGUUUAUGCUUAUGUUUCUGUAUUGAAGAUGACAUGCCAAGGUUUUAAAAUGAAUAAAAAUACAUUUCUCCGUAAAUGAUUUGAUAAUGUAUUUAUCAUGUUUUACUGGGAACAAAUUCCGCAACAUUUUUAUUAAAAGAAGUACUCUGAUUUUUAUAAAGCAUAAACAAAAUCAGUCUUUUCUGGACGUAAAAAUGGGGAUGUCAUAGUAUUGGAUUUCGGAGGGAGUUAGGAUACGUAUCUUCCGUUAGCGUAAUUUUCAUAUAACAACAGUUAUCACGCCAUCAUUGAUUGACCUACUUUUGAGAUGCUCAAUGGGAGGAAAUGCAAGACCCCGAUUUAUUAGGGUGAGGUCGGUAAAUGAGUUAUGGGGAGUACCAAAUUGGUACUCAAGACUACCGACUUGAUUCUGCAGGUUCAGAGUAGACUCCAGACAACUUAGAGUUAGUAGAAGAGCUAUGCCCAUAAGCGUCGAUCAGAUCUAGAGUUCCAGGUUGGGGAUAUGGUUCUCCUGAAGGUGUCACCUUGGAAAAGUGUCAUCCAAUUCAAGAAGAGGAGCAAGUCGGGCCCUAGGUACAUCAGUCCUUUCAAGGUUUUGGCUCAGGUGGGCUGGGUUGCUUAUUGCUUGGAUCUUCUCAAGGAGCUUAGUCAGAUCCAUAACACGUUCCACGUCUCUCAGUUGUGGAAAUGUUUAGUGGAUGAAUCCGUGGUGGUUACAUUGGAGGAUAUUAUGUGGAUGAUCUCCUGAAUUAUAGCGAGAGACCAGUGGCGAUUCUUGACCGGAAGACAAAAAAACCUUGAGGAACAAGGCUGUUGAGUUGGUGAAAUUUCAGUGGCAACAUCGCAAGGGUUUAGAAUGGACGUGGGAGUCGAAGGACGAUAUGAGGGAGCAUUACCGGGAGUUAUUUGGGGUAGCUGACUUUUAGGAAGAAGUCUGAUUCAAGUGGGGGAGAAUUGUAACAUUCGUAAUUUGGUAUGUUUCCCUUUUAGCCCUUGAUGCAAAAUAUUUACCUUUUUGGUCCNUAUAUAAAAAUCACACAUCAGCGGGGGGUACUCUAUGAGUACACUUAGCAUACUAGCUCUUUUCUGGACGCAAGACUCACCCACAUACAUGGGGCGUACGUGGUGCAAGGGCAAACCCUAAUUUUUGGGGUUUGCAUCCUAGUUAAACAACUUAUACCACCUUUGGACAUUCUAUUGAUCAACCUCCAUCACUCUCUACCCUAAAAACGAAUCCCUAAGUGCUUUUGGUGAGUUUUGAGAUUGAAAGUGAGAUUUGCUGGUGUUUCUAGUGAAGAAGAAGAAGAACACUUGGUGGUUGCUUGGGAGUAGCUUAGGCUUGUAGAUCCAGGGUCAUCUUCAUCUUAGCAAGUCAUUUGAGGUAAAAAGCUCCCAUAUUCAUGAUUCUUUAUGCUAGAUCCAACUUAGGGUGUUAUUUUUGAAAUUAUGGGCCUUUUGAGCUAAAUUUGAGCUUUUGAUCUACUCUAGAAGCCAUGUAUGUUAGAUAUUAGCUCCAUUGAGAACCCUUGUUCAUAAAAAUGCAAACUUUGUGUAAGAUAUUAGUCCAUGCAAGUGCUAAGAUUCUUAUCAAGCUUCGUUUUGAGUUUUGGGCCUUAUUAAGUCAUUUAUGGAUGUAAUGUUUCCAACUUUACGUGUUAAGUCAUCAUUUAGGAUUAGAUUUUGUAGUUGGGCUUAUUGGCUUAAUCAAUUAAGUGCUUUUUGAGUUGGGUUGGUAAUCUGGGGAGUAUGAUGGUCGUACGCAGCAGCUACACUGCGCGUACUGGCCCUGGAAGGAUUACACUAAGCAUACGAGCCGAGUACUCCUCGCGUACUCAACAUAUUGACUUUCAGUUUGACUUCCUCGAGUUUAGGCCAUAUUUUGGGCUUUUAGGGUUUGGGCCUUAUUCGGAUAUUGGACUUCUAACUUUGCGCCAUGGAUAGACUAUUGAUUUUCUUGGGAUUAGGUCCAUGAUGAUUUUUGUGCCCAAUUUGGAAGUUGGACCUUAUUAGGCCUUGUGCUGCCAUUUAGGAAUUUGGGCAUUUUAAGCAAAUGGGUUGGGCCAACUAAGAAAAAGGGUAAAAUGGUCUUUUACCCUGGAUAGUGGACAAGUAGCUUAGAUUCUUUAUUAUGGGUCGAGAUCCAAUUAUUAAUUGGAUAUUAUUUAAUGAUUUUAACAUGGAGAUUUUCCGGACCAGCAGAUCGAGAUUUAUCUGAGAGAUUCAACAGUUAGAGGAGAGUUUCCUCAUUGUGUUUAGCGGGUCGAAGACACCAAUGCCGACCCAUGGUUUGUUAUGUUUAGGAUGCUAGUUGUCUGCAUGACUCUUGCAUGUGUUAUACGUUUAUAUGUUUAUCGGGCGCGACCCGAUCCACCCCUCCCCCAGGGGGGAUGACUAUCCUAUACGCUAUUUAUCUUUGUGGUUAUUGCAUGUGUUAUAUGAUUAUAUGUUUAUAUGUAUACCGAGCAGGGCCUGAUGACUGACAGAUUUGUUUCGAGCGGGGUCCGAUGAUGGUCGAGGCUCAUUAUAUGUUUGAUAUGUAAGGUAUGUGGUAUUUUGGGGAACUCACUAAACUUUGUGCUUACGGUUUUCAGUUUAUAUUUCAGGUACUUCUGGUUCGAAGGGGAAGAUCCCAAGAUGAUUGCAGUGCACACACCAUCUUGUUCCGCAUUUUUAUAUUACUCUGAUGUACUUGGAUGUUAUUGAUAUAAUUUGAUUCACCAUGGUUUAUAUGAUGGUUUUAUUAAUUUAAAACUGAAAUUUUUAGUCUUGCUUUUUGGGACGUUACAUGCUGAUUCAGCACUUUGUGAUUGUUCUAUAAUCUUGUACAAACUUUAUGAUGGUUUAUUAUCAAGGACUUCCAACCCUAAUUUCGAAACACAUGUGAAGUUGUGGCGUUUGGGUUUUAUUUUAUAGAUCUUCAUCUACAUCAAACUCCAAGAUGGAUGGAAAAACAAGAAAUAUAUGGCAAGAAAUCCUACAUUCCUUUCUUGUUUACACCAUGUCUUGUGUAAUCAUUGAUAAAAAAUGAUAUAAAAGAGAGACACAUAUGAAGCCAUAUAAGGAGGGAUGAACCACUUUCAUUGGCAGCCCAUUUACUAGACCUUGUGUUUUCUUAAACCCUAGAAUCAUAAAUCCAUCGACCCCCGCUACAAUAGAUACAAACGAUCUUUGAUUUCAUGAUUUGAGUCCUUGUUUUGUAAAUUUAGUUUUUUUUUCAUCGAUCAUCUGCAACCAUGUCUUGGCAUUAAUCAAACUGAUUGCAAAUGUGUUACUUUCCUUAUGAAUCUCAUUUUUUCGAACAGGUUCUUGAUAAAUCUGAAAGACGCUUGGAUUUAUUCCACCAAAAAACUCAUCAGAGCUCGAUUGAUCGUGUUGAAUGAAUUCGAGAAUGGUGGAUUUAAGUGCAACGGCAUUAUAUUGUCUCCAUCUAUCUGAGGUGGGUGGUCGAAGUGCAUUGAAUAACUUUGGGUAAUCGGAGCACAUGAUCCUUACAGUUCGGACACAUCGAUCAUCGCUUCAAUGUCACACAACCCAUUUCACCAAAAUCCCACCAAAAAGAUUGAAAAUUAAAUCAAACGUGAAUAUGAACACUCUAUAAUGUUGUUUAUAAUGAUUAAACUGAUGAAUUUAAAAAAAUCUUAUAUGUAUGGAUUUGGGUUGGUGAUGAUAGAUGGACUAAAAGGAAGAAGGAACAAACAAAGAGUAAAGGAAAGAGAUGGUGGGGUGGGGUUUUUUUACUUUGUCUUGUGUGAGUGUGUGUAUGUGUGUGUGAGAGAGUGAGAGAGGGAAAGAGAGAGAAAGAGAGAGAGUCAAAAGGACUAUUUGUGUGUAAAAGGUAAAGGGUAUUUUUGUCUUUUCACAAACAUUUAACAAAAUCUACUAACAAAGUUACUCAUACAGACCAUUUACGUGCAAGGGUUGCUUUAAAGGGACCAUCCAUGCAAAAAAAAGUUCCAUAAGGACUAUUUUAGGGAAAAUGUGAAAAGGAAAAGGACCAUUUGUACAAUUUAUCUAAUAAUAAUAAUAAUAAUAAUAAUAAUAAUAAUAAUAAUAAUAAUAAUAAUAAUAGCAACAAAAAUAACAACAACAACAACAACAACAAUAACAACAACAAUAGUAAAUUAUAGUUUUGGUCCCUAUGGUUUGGUUAGAUUCCCACUUUUUGUUCAAUUUAUAAUUUCUUAUAUAUUUCUAAUGUAACAUCAUGUUUCAAGAAGUUCUUAUUUCAUGAUUGUGGACAAUAAAUGGAUCAAAUGGAGACCUUGGGCUUGAAUGGAAUGGAGUUUAGACUCUAUUGGAGGUAUAUGAUGUUGGACAAGUGAUUUAAACCUUAGAUUGUUCAAUGGAAGUUGAGGGUGGAAGUGCGAAAGGUUAUGUUUCGGGCUUCUUCAAGAUCGAAUUGUAGAGCUUAUUGAUACCUUUCCAUGGAUAUAAAGAUCAUCGAAAACGAAGUUGAAAUGAACAAGUUAUGGUUGUUUAAAGUUAAGCUAGAAGAAUGGAUUCUAGCAGUAUGUUAGGCGUACACUAGCCAGUACGCUGGGUGUACUAGGCUGAAGGAACGCAUUUUUAGGACGUUACGUUGGGCGUAACUUUAGGUAUGCCAGGUGUACUUCCACAUAGUAAAAACCCUAUUUUCAUGCUUUUGAGCCCUAUUUAAGGUCUCUAACCCCUUAGGGUCCUUCCUAUCAUGAGCCUCCACCUUCUUGAUCCUCUAACUUGAAACCCUAUCCUCCUUUCUCUUAUUUUGAGCCUUGGUAUCAUUUAUGAGCUUAUUUCUCCAUUACAAGGUGGGAUCUUGAAGAACAAGGUGGUGACAAAGUGUACGGAAGAAGGAUUCAAGCAUAGAUCAAGCAAGAUUACAUCAUUUCUGGACCUUUGUGAGUGAAAAGCUUCAAACUUGCUCAUUAAUUAAUUUCAUAGAUCUUGUUAAUUUUCAUAAUUUUCACUUUUUGGUCACUUUAGUGCAUAAAUUUUAGAUCUUGAAAGUUUGUGACCUUGCUAUGGAUAAAGUUGGAAACUUUAUCCAUUUAAACAUCAUAUUAAUUCAAAUUUGAAGGUUGGAGACUCAGACUUAAUGGAUUAAGUUGAGAAAGAUGCAUUUUUGGUCCCUUUGAGACUUAGAGACUAGAUCUUGGUUAUUUGGACCAUCCUAAUGGAUAAAGUUGGAAAUUUUAUCCAUUAUGGAGCUACUAGGAAUAAUAAAAAUGUGAUUUUGGUCCAUUUCUUCCCUCCAUGCAAGAGUUAUGAUGCCUUGAUUUGUGUAUUAAGUUAGGGUUUUCUCUUUUGGACCUUUUCUAGCCAUGGAACGUCAUAAAGGUGGAAACUUUAUGACUUAAGACAAUCUUUUGGGGCUAGAUCUGAAUUUAGAUGGAAAUCCUUGAGAAUUAACACUUAAUGAGGUGAGCACAAUUCAGACGAAGUAUGUUACGCGUACUGGGUUUGAGUCCCAUGUUUUUGGCUAAGUAUUGACUACGCUCAACGUAGAGACUGAGUACGUUGGGCGUACUCAGUCAGUUUGACCUUGUUUGACUUUUUGUCAUUUUGACUUUGACCUUUGACCUAGAGUUUGACCAAGUUUGACUUAAGGGAAUUUUGGGUAUUUUGGAGUAGUAGUUUGGGACCAGGUACUUCUUUGUUGUAUAGUUGACCAGAAGAGUUAGUAGUUGGAGUUGUAAUCUAUUCAGCUACAUUUCAAAUUGAGAAGUGAUUUUUCCUCACUGUACUUGUGGGUCAAAGGCACUAAGGUCGGCCUAGUAUAUUCUGUAUUUUGGUUUAGAAUGUUGCUAUGCUAUGGUAAUAUGUUAAGAUCUGCAUGAUUAUCUGGUUGCUAUUAUAUGUUUUAUCUAUUAUACAUGUCGACAUAGAGUGGUUGGGUUGAGACUAUAUUGCUUUGUGUUGUUAGUCAACAAACCCGGGCAAUCCAACCGAAAGAUUAUGGGCUAGUGGCAAUCCAACCGGGAGGUUGUGGUCCAAAAGGGGCAAUCCAACCAGGAGGUUGUGGGCCAGGGGCAAUCCAAUCGGAAGGUUAUAGGCAUGGGGAAAUGCAACUGGAAGGUUGUAGGCUACGGGUAAUCCAAACGGGAGGUUGUGGACCGAGUAUAUAUUAUUUGUAUAUGUUCUGUUGUGUGGUAUUUGGGGGACUCACUGAGCUUUGUGCUUACAUUUUGAUAUUAUGGUUUCAGGUACAUCAGAUGAUCGGGACAAGGCGAAAGCUUGAUCGUGCACGUCCUUCAGUUUUAUGAAAUUUGUACUUGGGAUACUAUGAAUUGUGAUUUUAACACUUUGGAAACUAUGUUUUGUAAACAAUUAUUUUUUGGUUGUUUUUGAAAAAUGAAAAUUUCACCUUGAUUUUUGGGAUGUUACAAGUUGGUAUCAAAGCCCCGGUUUGAGUGAACUGGAUGAGCAUUCAUGAUAAUCCAGAAUCGAACUAAGGAUCUGUCAAAGUUUUCAAAAUUGUUUUCAAAGGUAAUCAAAGAAGGAUGAGAUGUGUACGUCAACCGAAGCAAGAAAGUGUACCCCAAGAUACCCAUACUGUUAUUUGCUUAUGAUGAUUAUGAUAGAAUUGUGUGUAGUUUAUAGGCUAUGUAUCCUCAGGAAUUGCAUGAUAGAAUUGUCUGAUGUGUGAUGUCAGAUAGCCUAGGAGAAUCUAUUGUAUACUAGAUGAAAUUGACAUCAUUAUAGUAGUUGCUUAAUGUGUGCAUCAUAGUUGUACAUAACUAAGAUUUUAUAGCCUGAGAAUGUUUGAUUCAGCCUUAUUUCCUAUUCUUGCAUGAUGAAGGGCUUAGGGUAGAAUCUAAUGGGCUUUCUAAGUAAUAAAAUUUAACAUGUGGCAGAAAAACACUUAAACUCUUAAGUUCAGAUGCAACCUAGAAAGGAUCUAUAUUUUCUCUAUUGAUAGCAACUAACUAUGAAUAUCAAGAAAUCCUAGGACAGAGACUAUGAAAUAAAAAUUCAUAUCAAAUUAGGGUUACCUACAUUUUGAUUAUUAUUGAAAAUAAUCAAAUUAGAAUCCUUCUUCAAAAUCUUGGAAUGCUAGCACCAAAGGAAUGGAUGCCUCUGAUGGCUUGUACCCAAAACCCUAGUAACAAGAAGACCUGAGGAGAGAGGAGGCUAGAGAAAAAAAUUGACUCUAUGAAGGCAAGAAGGAAUGAAAAAAGAAUGAGAGCCAGGGAAGGGUUUAUAUAGCUGAAGGAAACUUGAGGCAAAAGCUAGGGUUUUUAGGAUAAGGCCUAGAUUAAUUAAUAUAAUAAUCAAGUUACCUUAUCUCCUUAUCCUAAGCAUUAUGAACAAAAUUUCUAGGUCAUUACUAGCCAAAUUUCGUUCACCCCCAUCCCAUGGGGUUCCAGAGUUUUCCUGCUUCAACUUUAAAUAAUUAACCAAAGAGUCAAUGCACAUUUAAUCAAUUAAUUAAUCCCAAAUUUAAUUCUAAUUAAUUUCUGAUUGAUUCUAAAUUGUUUAUUAUUAUUCCUUAUUAAUAUAUUAAUCAUAUAAUAUAUUAAUAACCUAUUUAUUCCAAUUUAUUUAUCAUAUAAUAAAUUAGUAAUUCAGCCUCUUCCUCCAAAAGUCAUUAUAUCCCUAUACUAGUUUUGAGGGCAACCCAAAAAGGACUUUGCUUCUAAUUCAAGAAUAUACAAUUUAGUUAUUUGCUUAGACACCUUAAUCUAAUAGUCUCCCACUUGGAUAAGUCUGUAACUACAAUUGCAAGUAUAUACCUUUAAAUAAACAACAAAGAGUGUUUUCCAAAGCCACUGCCAAACUCUGAUUCAAAUAAGCUAUUGACCCUAAGAUAAGUGAUAAGCUAUCGCUUCGUUCUUCAAGAUAUUAUAUGAACACGAGACAUGGAUCAUAAUCAAUCUCUUUUUCCAAAAUUUUGUUUCCCGAUUUGUAAAGACUUUAUUAGACUUCAAAUUGAACACAUCAAUUAGUCCUGGGUGGGCCCGACACUAUAUAGUCAACAUCAAAUAAUUGAGGCGCCCAAUGAUAUCACUUUUCCUAUUAGAGCAAAAGGAACGAAUUACACUGACUAUGUAGUCAUACAAUUUACAUAUCAAAUCACACAUGGAAUAACCCUUAUAACAUCCCGUUAUGAGAUGAAUUUGAGCAAACCAAUGUACAACUGAUCAGUAAAGUAUGAACUAUAUAUCUCUACUUUAAGAAUAGAAUAUAUUACCGCCUUAAAAUUACUUGUGAUUGAAUCCAUGAAGUAAUCUCUAACCGUGGGUUUAUCCAAUACUUAAAAUCUCUAUUUUCAAAGUAAUCAUGAAUAUUGUAGCAAUUUAACCUCAAUCGACAAUCUACAAUCAAUUCAUGACAAUCUUAAUUCAGUACUUACUUCCAAAAGUAUGAACGAAUGUGGAAUUUUGAAUAAUAUCAAAAUUACUCAGGGAAGUUAAAUAUGCAAAAUGAAACACGAUAAUAAUUUAAUUAACUAUGGUAUCAUACCCAUUGUUCAUAAAUAAAUCCAUAUUAUUUAAUCACCAUAAAAAUUAUGGACUUAUCCAUUGUAUAAUGUUUCAAGUAAUCAACUAACCACUGGAAGUAGAUAACAUGAGUCAAGCCAUGUCAUAAACAUACAUACUAUGACUCUCGAUGGUCGUUCCUUUGUGAACAGAUAGACUGGACAUUACUUCCAACGACGCUCAAUUCAUAAUUCCAAUUUCUUAUUAGUAUCUAAGAUGUAGUGAAAUUUCAUCUUUACAUGAAUUGUCUUUCUGUGAUGUCAAGGUUCUUAAGUGAAAGAGACUGAGCCUUCGACAUUACAUAAUGUUCCACUGGAACUUGUUACUCAAAACAUUUCCAUGGUUAUGAAUCUCAAAUUCAAGUUGCAAGUUUGCAUUAAAGUUUCCAAAUCACAUGUAGAUUUUGAAAACAUCUCCAUAUGCCCAUAUGACCAUCAAUUCUGAACAAGAAUCAUCUCAAUCCAACAUGUGUCACUACGGUCCUUUCUAAACAAUAUGAUACUUCCAACUGGCUACAAACAACUAAUUCUUUGGUAAAACCUUAGAAUGUUCUUGAUAGUUGUUUGACAACUUCAGUCACGUGAAAAAUUCAAAUCCUUUUUCACACAAUGCUAAAAGCAUUUGAAAAAAUAGAAUAAUUGAAUAUCAUAGCAUAUGUAAUCGAUCCUAUAUACGAAGCAUAUGGGAAUCAACUCAUUAUUAUAACGGUCCAAUAUCUGUUCAAUUCCUUGCUAUAAUAUUUCCAUUUAUAGAGUACCCAAUGUCGAAACAUUUCAACAUGGUAUUCCUUUGACUAAGUUCUAUUAAAUUAUUCAAUCUAAACCUUUAGAUUAAAAAUGAAGUAUGAGUUCCAUCACCCUUAUGUCCACUAUAGCGUAAUAGUUCCCAACUUUUGCAACUUGAAAAUUAGAGACAUUCUUCCCUAUCGAUGGUAUUCUCAACAUGCAAUGCUAGACAUAACAAUUGUGCUCCCAUUAGCUUUGACAUGUACUUAGAAAUCAACUUGACUUCUAGAAAUCAAUAUCUUUUGACUUUCUCAUGGAAGUACAGAUUCCUAUUUCGCAAUGCUUCAUCAAGCCUUUAAUUAAGCUUCUUAAGCUUAUGCACUUUAUCUGGAUAGUGUAUGUGUUCAACAUCUUUCAAGACGUGGUAAACAUAUCUCUUGAAAGUCUAGAAAAUUCUUUGUCAUUCCUCAUAAUUCGAAAUAUGAAUAUGGACGCCGUAAUCAUAUUGUAAAUUUAAGAACGUAAUUAAUACAACCAAUAUCCAUAUUAAUCUUUAUAAGACCUUUUAAAAUCUACUAGUGAAAGUGUUUCCUCAUAACGAUUUUCAUGAAUUGGAGUGAAACCUUUUUUCACCUAGAUUCGAAGGUGCAUAUGUUCCCAAUCAUAUAUAAUUUUAAUUUUCAACCUAUCAUCAUAAGAAAAGGUUUAAGACAAACCAAAA
rnacentral:lncRNA from 1 species